UUUCAAGACCUGUAGUAGAACAUUGUGGAGGGGUUCCAUUAGCUCUUCAAGUUCUGGGAUCUUCUCUAUUUGGAAAAACAGUAGAUGUAUGGAAAAAUGCAUUACACAACCUAGACGUGAUUACUGAGGGAAAAAUUCAAAAGAUUCUUGGCAUAAGUUUUCAUUCUUUACAAGAUCAUGAUAAACGUUUAUUCCUCCACAUAGCCUGUUUCUUCGUAGGGAAGGACAAGGAUUUUACAACUACAAUCCUUGACGAAUGUGAUUUUGCCACAGAGGUUGGACUUCAACAUCUGGUUGAUAGAUGCCUUGUGGAAAUUAAUGUCCACAACAAGUUAAUCGUGCAUCAAUUACUUCAAGACAUGGGAAGGGCAAUAAUUCAUGAAGAAUCACCUGAGGACCCUGGAAAACGCACUAGACUGUGGCAUAAAGAUGCAUUUAACGUUUUGACAAAAUUAACGCACUACAAGAAAAAGGCCUUUUUGCGACACAUUUUUUGCGUCAAAUUACACUAUCGUCGCAAAUAAAAGGAAAUUAGCGCGGUAUUUGUUAGCGCGAAAAUAUUUGCGACACCACUAUAAGUAACGUCGCUAAUAAUGUCGCAAAUAGAAAUAUAUGUCGUCUUAAACAGAUUGUUUGCGACGCCCCUAACGACGGAUAGAGUUUGAGCGGGAACAAAUUGGCGCUUAGGGUUUGAGCGCGCGCACUCCUUUUUUCUUUUUCCCAACGCAGCCUUAGUGCUCUCCCUCAACCGUUUCUGUUUCCUUUUCCUUUUCUCUCAGAGAUUCAAUCGAAAAUUCUGGAGUUGUAUCAGAGUUACGGAGCACAAUCAGAGUUCAGGUAAGCCACUACAACCAUCUCCAUCUUCUUUCUUUUUUGAUUCCAUAAGUCUUGCUAAGUGAUUUAUAGGGUUUCUGUCAAAGGCGCACAUAUCUGCUAAAUGUCUUCCAAAACCUAGGGUCUUUGGCAUCCGGGAUUGGGAUGUCUUUCUUUUUUCCACCCAUUCUGCUCAGAAUCGGUUUGAUCAUCUUCCUCAGUACCUUGUUAAACCCCAACCCACGUCUUUGAUUGCUAAGUGAUUCCAUAAGUCUUGCUUAGUUCUCUCCCUCAGCCUUAGUUUUCUCCCUCAACCGUUUCCGGUUCCAAUUAUUAGUUUGGACUGGACAACGCCUGCGUUUUGGGCUGCAGGUUUUCUUAAUAUGUUUACAGCACAAACAGAAAAUUUUAGUUAAAAACAAACCCUGUUUUCUUAAUAUGUUUACAGCACAAAUAGUAAUUGAUUUUUAGGGGGAUUGUGCUUCUUGAUUUUCUAUGUGCCUUUAUUUUUAAUUCGUGGACAUCUUGCCCAAUUUUUUUUUUUUUUUUUUUUUUUGUAAUUUUGUUGGCAUUUGCAACAAUAUAUUUGGCUUCUUCUUCUUCCUUAAAAAUAUGGUGAAUGAUUAGAGUGUACCUUUUACAGGCGUUGCUUUUCCAUAGAUUGGGAAGAUCUUGGAGAAGGCCCUCGCACAAGGUAAAGUGGAUGAUGUAGGAUUGUUUUUUUGUGUGCUGACUAAAAGUUUACCUUGGAGUAAUCUCUUAUUUGUGACACUCCUUGAAAUUCUGGAUAUAUUUUCUUUGAGUAUCAUAUGCAAAAGUCAAAGUUGCCCAAAGUUCAGAGGAUACAUUGAAUGAAGAAUUGGAUAUGUAUUUCGUAUUUGCUACCCAAGAAUAUGACCGUUUGGAUUGUUAAUUACCCAUUCCUAGCUAGUUCAUGUGUUAGGUAGGUGAAUGAUGGGGAUUAGUAGUGAGUUUAUCUAAUUUUUAAGUGAUAGUUGAUGGCAGACCUAGAGUUUGUCUAAUUACCCAUUCAACUCAUAUUAUAUAAGCCCACCUUUUAAAACUCAAUUGCUUCCCUUUAUUAUUUAUAUUUUUAAUAACUAGUAUUAUCAUUAUGAAUGUUGAGAUAACUCUGUAUGUGUAUCGCCUAUUCCGAGCUCACACAUUAUCAUGCGUUAAUGCAUAUUCUUUUGUGUUAAAGUAGAAUACUGUUUUUGGAAUAGUUUGGAUUGACAACUUAUCUCAUAUUGCUUAGUGUUUAACAUUCUUUUGUAGUUCAAAUAUUUUGGAUUAACUAUAGAGAUCAGAUCAAGGGUGCUUAAUUCUUAGUUCGGUAUGUUUUAUAUCCACCUUUUAAAUAAAUUUUUGAUUAAUUUUACUUACUUUCUUUGUAUUAUUUUCGGAUGACAUUAGGUAUGGACAAGAGUUGGAUAGAUUUAAAUGACAGAUGUCCCUGAUGCAUAUAAAUUUCAUUGCUUAAAGGUUAUUGGCAAUAGAUGGAGGGAUUGGAAGUGUCGGGUUAAGCAAAGAUGGUAUGACGCAUACUUGACCGAUGAACAACGUUUAUCCUUCACUCCUCCUCAAGUCACUACAGAUCAAUGGAAGACACUAGUAAAGUAUUGGGGCCUCCCUAAUAUAAAGGUAAAUUAGGAAAAAUUACAUUUUAAGUUUAUAAUAGUGAUGAAUUAUGGUUGCUUUAAACAUGUGUAGGAAUAUUCUGAGGCAAAUAAGGCUAAUCGUGCACAUGGAGGUGCUCCUCAUCGGACUGGUCGUACUUCAUUUGCUCAAUUGAAACAUGAGGUCAGAACACUAGUUUUGCAGUGAGUAAUAAGUGAUAAUAAUUAACAAUAGGACUAAUACUAAUACAAGCAGGGGAUGUAUAUAUAUAAACCAUGCUGGAAAACUGGAAUGGUAUCAUUUGUACCAGGUCCAAUUUGAAUACGGCAUGAUGGAAAUGCUGGAAAGUUUUUAUUUUCUCCAUUUAACAAUUUUCAUUACUAACUUGAUUAAACAUUGUGUGCUCUUAAGAUGAGAGAGAAGGGAGAGAAAACGGAUCAGUUGAGCAUGUUUAUAAAAACAAGAACAAAGAAAACAAAGAAUGAUGACAGAGACCUUUUCGAUGAGGAAAGUGGCCAAAUUAUUGUAAGUAUCAGUUAGGUUAUAUAUUUUUCACUCAAAGUAAAACUUUGCAUAUUCACAUCGUUUUGAUUAGUUGGGUUGUGCAUUAUUUUUAUCUUUUGGUCAUUUGAAUUGGUUGGGUCAUGUUUUGUAGAAUCAAUUUAAUCAAUGCUUGGAAGAAAGGGAAGAGCAUGAGCAAGACGAGGAUUAUCGAGAGGAGGUGUUUACUAGAGUUAUGGGACCUGAUGCAUAUGGACGUGUUCGCAUGUAUAGAACAGGUAUAACUCCAUCUCAAGUGUUUUGUCAAAGUUCAAGAUCUUCCAAUGUUAAUGAGGACACCAUACGAGAAGAGGUAGAAAGACAAUACAAGACUAAGAUAGAUGAUCUUAAGGCUAAGCAUGAAUCUGAAAUUGAAGAUCUCCGAUCCAAGUAUAGUGAAGUCAGUUCGAAACUCCAUCUUGUGACGACUCAUAUUGGUUUCCAUGUUAACACAUCACCAAGUGGAAGUGGACAGGUAUAUACAUUCGAAUGUGAUUUUGUUCUCUUUUCAAUUUAUUAGAAUAAAUUAGUGUGAAAAUUUGAGCAAUUUUGAUUUCUAUUUGUCGUGUUGGUGUUAAAUAUAGGCUCCAAAUACAUCAAGCCAUCUACAAGAAACAUAUGGGAGUAAUGAGCAACAACCUCAGUUAGACCCAGAACCAUAGAAACAAUUGCUUCAUAAAAGGUUUGUAAAGAAAACAUUAUACUAAAGAUUAAACUUUUAAUUGACACAUGUUAUUGAUGGCUGUGUAAUUCUUAUUUUUCAGGUUUGCAUGGAGAUUGUGAUGAAGAGUCUUGAUCAUAAUUAAACUCUUGAAUAUGUUGGAGCAUAUUUGAAAAAAAAAAUUAUGUUCAUAACUUUUGAGACGAGAUUAUUUAUAUUUGACUCUAGUAGGAUUAUAUGUAUUGGGAUAUGCGGAUGGUGUACUUUCAAUGUUAUUAGGAAUUCUAAAAGCAUAGUUCUUUGAUUCAUAUAUUAUUUUACUUUUGAACUUGGGAUGAUUGUGAAUAAGAUUAUAAAUUGCAACCUAAUCUUUCAUUGAACAAAUAUCAUUUCCAACCAUUUUGUAUUUAUAACAAAAAAAAUUGUAGGGAUAAAAGCAUUUACGACGUGUCAAACAUGUCCCAAAUAUUUUGUUUAAUUCCACCAUCAAAGCCGUUGCGACGCUAACUAUUGUGUCGCAAAGCUGUCGUAAAAGAACUUCGCGGCGCUUGAAAUGUGUCGCAAUAAGUUGUGAAAACUUUUGCGACAUGGGUUUGUUGCGACGCAAUCACAAGUGUCGCAUGAGCGUCGUUAAAACGCAUAAACGACGCUUUCAUGACUUAACACGACGAGUUUUUAGCGUCGUAUUUAGCAAGUUUUUUUGUAGUGACGGUAAGAAACAUGAAUUUUAUGUGUAUAUAUUUGCAAUGGUGUUCUACAUGGUAACUUAUCCAAUGUUAUUAUUUGUUAGCAGGGUACGAGAACUAUCAAGGGCCUCAUGCUCCACUUUCUCCCAUCAGAUUCAUCUCCGGUAAAUGAGGUAGGUUUCAAAACAAAGGCAUUCACAGAGAUGCUCCAUCUUGAACUACUUCUGCUUGAUAAUGUAAAGUUGAGUGGUGUGGAGCCAAAAAUAUUCACAAAGCGACACGUGGGUUUUUGGACAAAAAGGACAAAAAUACCCUCGAGGCAUACCGGGUCUCCUACACGCGAGCAGUGGAGAAUCAUCCAUCAACCAAGUCAGAAGUACCCAAAAUGGGUAACAAUUCAAAACCUAUUUCAUAUAUGUUUUUACCUCAUUGUUUCCUUAUUCAAUUAGCCAUUUAUUUCAAACAUUCCAUAACAUCCUCAACCAAUUAAUAUAAUCAAUAUAUUAAAGGCUAAUUACAUCACCAAAUCACCCCAAAAUCACACCAAGGGCCGGCCAUUCCCAUCCAAAAAGAGCCUAUCAUAUUCUCUACCUUUUCCACUAUUUUCCCUUUUUAAUUACACUAAUUAGCUAGCCAAUUAAACCCAUAACCAUCAAAACAUUCCUUUAUGUUUAAAUUAGCCAAUUAAUCAUAAUAAAUUGGCUAAUUAAACCUAAAUUAAACCUAAAAACCCUAGCCACCUCUUAACUCUAUAAAUAGGCACCUAUUCUCACCAAAAAAUCAAGUCCAACACUUUGGCAAAAAUCCCAAAAUUCUCUAAACACUCUUUCUCUCUAAAUUCUAACUUUGGCAUCGGAGGUUCUUCGGCCAAAGCCCCCCCCCCAUUCAUCGUGGGCGCGUGAGGCUCUUGGCCUUAACCUAAGGUGUUAAUUAUUUUGUAGGUGCAAAAUCGUCCAAAAUCGAGGAGGAAGAAAUUUGCAUCCACAAGUGGAAGCUAUGAAGAUUUUCCAAAAAAAUUAAUAUGGUUGUCUUGGAGAGGAUUGUCUUUAAAAUCAAUACCAGCCAAUUUUUGUUUGGAAAAUCUAGUUGCUCUUGACUUACGGAAGAGCAGUCUGCAACGUGUUUGGAAAGGAACAGGGUAUGUUCUAAUCUCUCUCACUCUCGCUCUCUCUCUAUCUUUCUCUCUCUAUCUCUCUCUCUCUCUCUCACUCCCAGUGUAUUAAAAGCGUGAGGCGUGGGCGAGGCGUCCGAGGGGAAGCCCGGCCUAGGCGUGAGGCAAAGCCUCACGGGACCUAAAUUUUUUAAUAUAUACACUGAGCGUACACAUAUAUUAUAUUAAAAAUAAGAAAAUUAUUAAUCAAUAAUCACCCUGAGCACACACAUAUAUUAUAAAUAUAUAUAUAUACACACAUAUAUAUACAUAUAUUAUAUUAUAUAUGCAUAAAAUAGAGGAUGAAAAGCACAAUGAGCACAUAUAUAACAAUGCACGCAAACAACACACAUCCAUUAUAUAAAAAAUAAAAAUCAGAAAAAAGGCAUAGAGACAAAAGUGCAAGGAAGAGGUAUGAGGCAGUUAAAAUCCUACCCAAAAUUUGGGUUUGGGAGUAAAGACAAGACAAAAAAAAAAAAAAAAAAAACUCACUGAGGCGUGCCUAGGCGGCUCCGGCGAAGCCUUUCGCCCACUCCAACAAAACUGAGGCGUUAGCCAUGGCGCCCAGCCUCAAGGGCGCCCUAGGCGCGCCUCGAGGCGAGUUUUUUAAAACAUUGCUCAAUACACACAAAUAAAAAUAAAUUUUAGUGAAAUUAGACUCUGUAUUCAUAGCAACUAAUGACUUCUCUUUGAUACAGUUUCUUACAAGAUUGAAAAUUCUUAAUCUCAGUCAUUCACAUGGCCUUUGGACAACAUCUGACUUGUCCGGACUCCCUAACCUUGAGAAACUAAUUCUUAAGGAUUGCAUUAAUUUGGUUGAUGUUGAUGAAUCCAUUGGAAACUUGGGGAAACUUGUUUUCUUGAAUCUAAAAGACUGCAAAAGUCUUAUGAAGCUUCCAAAAAGAAUGAACAUGAUGAGGUCUCUUGGGGAACUUAUUCUUACUGGUUGCUCAAAGCUUGUGCUUCAUGAUAGUGCCAUGGUUAUUUAUAUACACACUACAUCAAGGGACAUGAAUAAACUUAGACUGUUGUCAACUAUAUCAUGGACACCAAUCAGGUCUUGGUGGAUGUGGGCAUGGCCAAGAAAGACUCUUCAAUCAACCAGUUUCUCACUAGCAAGUUUACCACAUUGUUUGGGAAGCUUAAGUCUGUCUUACUGCAACGUGUCGGAGGUUCCCAAUGAUUUAUGUACACUAUCUUCCUUGAAAUAUUUGAAUCUAAUUGGUAACUCAAUUUUGUGCCUACCACCAAACAUGAAGAGUCUUAUUAUGCUCGAGACUCUUUUGUUAGAUAAAUCCAUAAACCUUGAAAUACUUCCAGAGCUGCCCCCAAGGUUGAAGAGGUUGGAAGCAAAAUAUUGUACAUCAUUGAAAAGAUUAACAAAUUUACCAUUGUUCGGAUCAUUAGAAUCACUGUUUUGGGGUUGCGAGCAAUUAGUUGAAGUUGAAAGCUUGUUGAAUAUAAAACCGUCGAGAAGCACUGACAUAGAAAUGAGAAGAUAUAUGGGCCCGUUCAAUUUGAAAUCCAUAACAAGCACUGAUGUUGAAAUGAUCAACUACUUGACCAGUACAACUAGGAAGGUUCCUGUCCAGGUCUUUCUCUCUGUCUCCUCUCUCAUGUAUAGUUGUUCUAAUUAUUAUAUCUAUGAACUAGUUGGGUCUAACUGUUUGAAUAAUUAAAUUUGAAUUGUGCAAUCUUGAUGAAGCAGGGAGUCUAUGAAUGUGGCGUAUAUAGCAUUUUCCUUCCUGGAAGCAAGAUUCCAGAUGGAUUUGGCUUCACAACAAUAUAUGGAUCAGCGCUGUCGGCUAUUGCAUCUUCACAUCCUAAUCUCAAAAUCCAAGCCUUGAAUGUAUGUGUUUUAUAUGCAAUAGAACCGGGCUUGGCAAUUGAUGACUAUCUUGUUAGUGCUCAGCAUUUAAUUAAAGUCAGUAAUCAGACCAAGGGUCUUAUGUGGACCUAUUCCUCAGUCACAGUAGGUUUUCCAACUGAGAAGGAAGAUAUGUUAUGGCUAAGCCAUUUUCAAAUUGGGAACAAUGAAUUGGAGUAUGGGGACCAAAUACGUGUUUCGGUGGAGAUGCAUGAUUUUUGGAUAAAGGAGUUCGGAAUCCAGCUUGUGUACGAGCAGGAAAAAGACCUCCUUCUAGCCAGAAUAAUGUUGUUGCUGGAGAUGUGUCAAUGUCAGCAUCAGAGUACCAAACGUGGACAGGAUCAUACUUUCUCAGUAAUCAUAGGCGCCGUACUCAUCAAACUCAAUUCCGAAAGAGACAGAAGAAUCCAGCACAUAUUGAAUUUUCGUUUGAGCCAAAGCAUUAGCUUCAUACUUAUUCAAGGCCCAAAGACAACAACAACAACAACAACAACAACAACAAAGCCUUUUCCCACCAAGUGGGGUCGGCUAUAUGAAUCCUAGAACGCCAUUGCGCUCGGUUUUGUGUCAUGUCCUCCGUUAGAUCCAAGUACUAAAAGUCUUUUCUUAGAGUCUCUUCCAAAGUUUUCCUAGGUCUUCCUCUACCCCUUCGGCCCUGAACCUCUGUCCCGUAGUCACAUCUUCGAACCGGAGCGUCAGUCGGCCUUCUUUGCACAUGUCCAAAUCACCGGAGCCGAUUUUCUCUCAUCUUUCCUACAAUUUCGGCUACUCCUACUUUACCUCGGAUAUCCUCAUUCCCAAUCUUAUCAUUUCUCGUGUGCCCACAAAUCCCACGAAGCAUCCUCAUCUCCGCUACACCCAUUUUGUGUACGUGUUGAUGCUUCACCACCCAACAUUCUGUGCCAUACAACAUCGCUGGCCUUAUUGUCGUCCUAUAAAAUUUUCCCUUGAGCUUCAAUGGCCUACGACGGUCACACAACACGCCGGAUGCACUCUUUCCAUCCAGCUCGUAUUCUAUGGUUGAGAUCUCCAUCUAAUUCUCCGUUCUCUUGCAAGAUAAAUCCUAGGUAGCGAAAACGAUCGCUUUUUGUGAUCUUCGCUAGAUUGCUCCGGUCAUUAGUGUGGAUAAGUAUAUAAAUGGAUAGAGAUAGGAAAGCAAAUACAAGAUGUACGUGGUUCACCCAGAUUGGCUACGUCCACGGAAUAGAAGAGUUCUCAUUAAUUGUGAAAGGUUUACACAAGUACAUAGGUUCAAGCUCUCCUUUAGUGAGUACAAGUGAAUGAUUUAGUACAAAUGACAUUAGGAAAUAUUGUGGGAGAAAGAUCUCGUAAUCACGAAACUUCUAAGUAUCGGAGUGUGGUGUCGUCUUGACUUGCCUUAUCUGUCUCAUAGGUAGAUGUGGCAUCUUCUCUGGAAGUACUCUUCCUCCAUCCAGGGGUGGUAUCUUUAACUGGUGGAGAUGCACAAGGUAAUGUAUCAAUUUCACUUGAAGCUUACUUGUAGUUUCAGGCUUGGUCAAGCGCGAUACAAACCAUGUAGUAGGAGUCCCCCAAGUCGCCGAGCUGGUGGAGAUGCCCUAUCUGUUCCUCAAGCAGAUGCGGAAUCUUCCCUGGAAACAUAAGAUGUUGAAGAUGAGUACUCGAGAGCAAUGCCAGGUAAGUAAUCAGGUAAGGGGUUCCAGGCAGUCAGUUCCUGGCUGGAAGCUUGAUUCCAAGUGCUGACUGAUUGCUCUCUUUCUCCUUGUCUUGCAGGUAAAAACAAGGCCAAAAGAAAAAACAGGGAAAAAGCAUGAUAUGGGAUACUCUUGCUUUUAACCCUGAUGAUAUGAGAUAUUCUUGCUCUAGUAUAGCUUGUUUGCAGAGGUAUUAUCGGGGGGAAAGAAAGCUGAAUAUUUCGAAAGGCUUCGUUGGGAGUGCCCUCUCAGAUAUGAUGAAGGGUUGAGCAUUUUUGCAGGUCUGCCUGUCCGUUGGGGAUGGAGGUCGACAUAUAUAGGAGUCUCCCUAACAACAAGUAGUAAUGCUAUUCCUUUACCCUGCUUGGUCAUAGCACGGUAGUGGGAGCUGCUAGUUUCACAUGUUUUAACUCUGUCAGAGCACUUUGAAAAAGUGGUCUGUGGUAUCUGGCUCUCGAGAUUCGGAGAACGAUGCCUCUUCGAGUUUUGAGAAAGCAAUCAUGAUGGGGGUCUGACUCUCGAGAUUCGGAGAGCAGUGUCUCUUAGAUUUUUGAGGAAGUAAUCAUGUUGGGAGUCUGGCUCUCGAGAUUCGGAGGGCGGUGCCUCUUCGAUUUUGGAGCAAGCAAUCUUGUUGGGAGUGUUGUCUCGAAUGUGAGUAAAGGUUGGACAUGUUUGCUAGUCUACCUUGCCACGAAGCACAAAGGUUGACACACAGGGACUUUCCAAUUAUCCAGCAAUGGUACUGUUCCUUUACCCUAUCUUCGAUUUUGAGAAAGUAGUUAUGUUGGGAGUCUGGCUCUCGAGAUUCGGAGGACGGUGCCUCUUCGAUUUUGGAGCAAGCAAUCUUGUUGGGAGUGUUUUCUCGAAUGUGAGUAAAGGUUGGGCAUGUUUGCUAGUCUACCUUGCCACGAAGCACAGAGGUUGACACACAGGGACUUUCCAAUUAUCCAGCAGUGGUACUGUUCCUUUACCCUUGUGGGUAAUAAUAUGGUAGCUAGACCUUCAAAAUUUAUGUGUCUAAACUUUGUUAGUGCUGUUUCUUUGCUAUUCUUUUACCUUUCUUGGUCAGAGCGAUGUAGUGGGAGCUGCAAGCUUCACGUGCUCAACUUUGGCAGAGAACUUUGGCAAAGUUAUCUGUGGUACCCAUGAGUUAUUGUUGUGUGUGGGAAGUGGGUGAUUGAACAGUAAGAUUCAUGUGCUUUCUACUUCACCAGAAGUCUUCGACAGAAUGCCCAUAAUUUCUGCAAAGCUGAGUGUGCGUGUGACAGGUGCUGACAAGGCUAGAAAAGUAGGUGCCUCUUCGAUUUCUGAGAUCGGCCCUCGUGGUCUCUGAGCAGCCCAGCUUUUGAGAAAGCGAACGCCUCUUCGAUUGAUUCGGAGAACGAUGCCUCAUCGAUUUUUGAGAAAGCAAUCAUGCUGGGGGUCUGGCUCUCGAGAUUCGGGGAGCAGUCUCUUCGAUUUUUGAGAAAGUAAUCAUGUUGGGAGAGUGGCUCUCGAGAUUCGGAAGGCGGUGCCUCUUCGAUUUUGGAGCAAGCAAUCUUGUUGGGGGUGUUUUCUCGAAUGUGAGUAAAGGUUGGGCAUGUUUGCUAGUCUACCUUGCCACGAAGCACAGAGGUUGACACACAGGGACUUUCCAAUUAUCCAGCAAUGGUACUGUUCCUUUACCCUCUCUUCGAUUUUUAAGAAAGUAAUCAUGUUGGGAGUCUGGCUCUUUAGAUUCGGAGGACGGUGCCUCUUCGAUUUUGGAGCAAGCAAUCUUAUUGGGAGUGUUUUCUCGAAUGUGAGUAAAGGUUGGGCAUGUUUGCUAGUCUACCUUGCCACGAAGCACAGAGGUUGACACACAGGGACUUUCCAAUUAUCCAGCAGUGGUACUGUUCCUUUACCCUUGUGGGUAAUAAUAUGGUAGCUAGACCUUCAAAAAAUUUAUGGGUCUAAACUUUGUUAGUGUUGUUUCUUUGCUAUUCUUUUACCUUUGUUGGUCAAAGCGAUGUAGUGGGAGCUGCAAGCUUCACGUGCUCAACUUUGGCAGAGAACUUUGGCAAAGUUAUAUGUGGUACCCAUGAGCUAUUGUUGCGUGUGGGAAGUGGGUGAUUGAACAGUAAGAUUCAUGUGUUUUCUACUUCCCCAGAAGUCUUUGACAGAAUGCCCAUAAUUUCCGCAAAGCUGAGUGUGCGUGUGACAGGUGCUGACAAGGCUGGAAAAGUAGAUGCCUCUUCGAUUUCUGAGAUCGGCCCUCGUGGUCUCUGGGGAGCCCAGCUUUUGAGAAAGCGAGCGCCUCUUCGAUUUCUGAGAUCGGCCUUCGUGGUCUUUAAGCAGCCCAACUUUUGAGAAAUCAAACGCCUCUUCGAUUUCUGAGAUCAACCCUCGUGAUCUCUAAGCAGCCCAACUUUUGAGAAAGCAAACGCCUCUUCGAUUUCUGAAGCUCCGUCGAGUGCAGAUUUUUAUAGGGGCUGGCAUUAAGUUCCAAAGCACACUUGAAUCUCCACCAGUAGAAGCUUCAUUCUUGCACUUCUAAGAUCUUGAUUUGUCCGACCUCUUCUCUCUUCAACACCUUUGAAAAUGUCUGGCCCCUCCGACCGUCGUUUUGACUUAAACCUUGUUGAAGAGGCAGCCCCGCCUUCUCCAGACAACAUAUGGCGCCCAUCCUUCGUCUCCCCAACUGGUCCUCUUACCGUUGGGGAUUCCGUGAUGAAGAAUGAUAUGACCGCUGCGGUGGUGGCCAGGAACCUUCUCACUCCCAAAGAUAACAGACUACUUUCCAAACGGUCUGAUGAGUUAGCUGUUAAGGAUUCGUUGGCUCUCAGUGUUCAGUGUGCAGGUUCUGUGUCUAAUAUGGCCCAACGCCUAUUUGCUCGAACCCGCCAAGUUGAAUCAUUGGCGGCUGAAGUGAUGAGUCUCAAACAGGAGAUUAGAGGGCUCAAGCAUGAGAAUAAACAGUUGCACCGGCUCGCACAUGACUAUGCUACAAACAUGAAGAGGAAGCUUGAUCAGAUGAAGGAAACUGAUGGUCAGGUUUUACUUGAUCAUCAGAGAUUUGUGGGUUUGUUCCAAAGGCAUUUAUUGCCUUCGUCUUCUGGGGCUGUACCACGUAAUGAAGCUCCAAAUGAUCAACCUCUGAUGCCUCCUCCUUCUAGGGUUCUGUCCAGUACUGAGGCUCCAAAUGAUCCCCCUCUGAUGCCUUCUCUUUCUGGGGCUCUCUACCGACUGCUGAGACUUCUCCUAAGCAACCUUUGUGAAGGCUCCCUCUUGUGUGUUUAUUUUGACUCAUGUAUAUGUACAUAUUUGUAGCUUAUCGGGGAUAUCAAUAAAUAAGCUUUCCUUCAUUUCAACGUAUUGUGUUAAAUACACCAAAUCCUUCUUCGCUAAGUUCUUUGAAUUUUCUUUUGUUGAAGCUUGUAUGUUGAAGCUUGUAUGAUUCAAGGCCCAAAGACCAUUGAAAAUAUUUUGAAACUUAGAGCAUGUCCAGCAGAUUCCCCAUCUACAUCUACUCACCUAUUUUGGAGAAAAUGAAGAGAAACCUCCUUAGUACUUUUUCCAACAUCAUUCGUUCAUGGUUGGAAGGAAAGAUCAGCAUCAAUUAUCCUGGUGAGUGUCGUCUUUUUGUUCUUUCUUGUUGAAUUUUUGAUGUGUAUUUCAUAUCAAAACAAUUACAAGAUGAAACAUUAUAUAGGAAAAGAAAGAGAACAUAAGCCUAACUUGCCUAACUUGCCUAACUUGCCUAAUUUCCUAACUUGCCUAACUUGCCUAAUUUACACAAAGAAGGUUGACUAGCCUAACUUCACUAGUCAUCCAACAUGUUUAUUUCAUGCAUGCAUUUUAACAAAAGAUAUGACUUGCAUGAAUUCCAACAUUUCUUGUUAUAUCUUUCUCAAUAUAAACUCAUGGGUUUGUUGGAUUUGUUGCUCUUUGUUUAUUGCUUUGAUUUGUUAAUUGAAUGAAUAUAUUAAACAAAAGGAGGGGAAAGCUCUACGAACUCGUGUAGUUGAUGCAUGUAGUACUCAGUACUACUCUUUCAGACAAUAAUCCUAACUUUUAAUCCCACUUAACGUAAUACAAUUUGGUGUCUGUAGUAUGUUUGGUGGUCUAGAUCACUCAUUUGAGAUAUACAUGUGAACCAGAAAGCUGUUUAACUUGGAAAAAGGCGAAAUUUAGCAUGCCCAUGAACUUUUAAAAUGUUGGGAGCAGCUCAGGUUUGAGUCCCAGCAAAGGAAUGCUUUUCUUAAUUUUUGCACGACUUACAGCUGGUGCGAGGGACCUCUGCGCGUUAACUAUGUGUCAGUCUGGGUCCAUUUAUUCCCUAGCCAUCAGUGUGCUGUCUAACUUUGUCUUUUAUAUUCACAAAAAAGCAUUGGCAGUCUUGACAGUGUCGAAACUGUUUACCGUGUUCAAACCGUGUGCAGGGCGUGUCAGCAUGUCAGAGUGUCUGACACUUUGAGGUUUGGGAGUGUCCGUGCAACCUAGGCUUCAAGGACGAGAUGGACAAGGUGGAGAAGUGGAGAAGAGCGCUUACUGAUGUUGCAAAUCUGGGAGGGAUGGUUCUAGAAGAUCGGUAAUUUCGUAAAACAUUUUCUUUAAUUUGAAAGUAUUAUCUAUAUAUGACCUUUUAGAGGUCGCACUUGGUGCGAUGGCAAGUGCCUUCGCCUAUGAGCGGUAGGUCUCAGGUUUGAGACUUGGGAGCAGCCUCUCCAUAAAUGGGGUAAGGCUAGCCGACAUUCACCUCUCCCAGACCCUGCGUAAAGCGGGAGCCUUGUGCACUGGGUACGACCUUUUUUUAUCUAUAUAUGACCUUUUAUAACUUGUUUAUUAGGCACAUUAUUGUUAGCUUAUUGGAGACUAAGGCCACCCCUCUUUCUUUUAGGGUAGAUAAUAUCGUUUGUUGACAAAAAAAAAAAAAAAAAAACUUGUUUAUUAGGUUGAUGAUAGUAAAGCCAUAUGGAGUUGACGGAUUUUGGGUUUAUAACUUUAUACUAUCUUUCAUGUACCUGUGCAGCAAUAUUUUUUAGAAGAUUCAAAUUUUCAAGUCAAUUUUUCAAUGUCUUAUAUAUAAUCUACCUGCAUUACUCAUGUCAAUCAUCAAUUACUCUUUUCUUUAGAUAAAAAUUACAUAGUCUUCAUAUGAUUUGAUGUCUAAUGACCAUAUGUUGUAGGGUAUGAGUGGCAGUUUAUCCAAGAUAUUGUUCAAGAGGUUGGAAGUAAGCUGGAUCGCGUGGCAGUAAAUGUUGCUCCCUAUGCUGUUGGAAUCGAUAAUUGUGUGCACGGAAUCAACAGAUGGUUAAAAGAUGAUUCGGGUGAUGCUGGUGCAGCGGUUAUCUAUGGGAUGGGUGGAAUUGGCAAAACCACCAUUGCCAAAGCUGCUAAUAAGACGAACCUUGCAAAAUUUUAAGGAAACGACAGCUUUCUUGCAGAUAUUGGCUUGCAAAUAAAUCUUCUUUCCGAUAUCCAAAGGGUGAAAGUAAAGAAAAUAAGCAAACAUGAAGGACUGAUCAAGAUUAAGCAUGCUGUAGGUUGCAAUAGAGUUCUUAUAGUUCUUGAUGAUGUGAACCAUUUGGACCAAUUCAAUGCAAUUCUUGGAAUGCGAUAGUGUUUUCACCCGGGAAGUAAAGUUACCGUAACAACUAGACAUAAAAGGCUCAUGAUAUUUAUCCAGUAUUUGAGAUUAAAGAACUGAGUGAAUAUGAAACACUGAAGCUUUUCAAGCGACAUGCCUUCGGGCAAGCCAAUCCCAUUGAAAGUUACUUGGAGUCAUGAACCUCGACCAAAUUGAAGCAAUCUUUGAGAAUCAAUUGCUAAUGGUUUGGGACUUCUGACAAGUUGGGGGUUGUCAUAAGGCCAUGUGAGUGACUGAGAUUAACGGUUCAGUCUUGGAAGGGAACCAGGGUAUGUUCUAAUCUCUCUCUCUCUCUCUCAAAAUACACACAAUCAAAAAUAAAUUUCAGUGAAAUUAAACUGUGUAUUCAUAGCAACUAAUGACUUCUCUUUGACACAGUUUCUUAGAAGAUUGAAAAUUCUAAAUCUUAGUCAUUCGCAUGGCCUUAGGACAACAUCUGACUUGUCCGGACUCCCUAAAGGAUUGCAUUAAUUUGAUUGAUGUUGAUGAAUCCAUUGGAAACUUGGGGAAACUUAUUUUCUUGAAUCUAAAAGACUGCAAAAGUCUUAUGAAGCUUCCAAAAAGAAUGAACAUGUUGAGGUCUCUUGAGGAAUUUAUUCUUACUGGUUGCUCAAAGCUUGUUCUUCAUGACAGUGCCACGGUUAUUCAUUUACACUCUACAUCUAGGGAUAUGAAUAAACUUAGACUGUUAUCAAUUAUAUCAUCGACACGAGAAAUUUUUCCAAAUGACCGGUACAACUGUUGAGUUGGAGUUCCCCUCCAAUUACAUGAUGCCACAUAUCCUACUACAGCUGCAUAGAUUAGUUUUGUUUAAUAAAAAAAAAAAAGAAAAAGAAAAAACUUGUAGAAGGUGUAAAGUCACCCUCCCAGCGGCCGAUCCCACCAAGGCGACUCACUUCCGAUUGACGACGACGAAGAAGAUUUCAGCUUCCUCGAGGACCCCACCGACCACAGCGCCGCCGCCCCGCACCAUUCAGAUUCGGACAAUUACGACGAUUUCGAGAACUUCUCCGAUGUCGACGAGGACGCUUUCAGGAGAUGAUGGCAGGCUUGGUAGCCCCAAGACUCCUAACUGGGUUUAUGGCAUUUUCAGUGAUGGGGAUGGGGUGGUGGCCAUUUUCGGUGAUGGGUUGAUGCAAUUUUGGGUUUUUGAUCAAAACCCAUCAAAAUUCACCACCACUUAGUCAAAAAUCCAAAUCAAACCCCAACAAAAACAAUCAAAUUCACAAGUUUUAUCUGAGAAAGAAAAAAAAACAUGAACAGAUUAUGGAAAAGGGUGGAAUGGAUGCGGGUGGGGCGUAAUAGAAUGGAAAAGAGAGGAAUCUGUGUUCUUCAUUUAAUUAAUUUAAAUUCUAUUCUUAAAAUAAAUAUUAUUUGUCAUUAUAAGAUGAUGUCAACCUAGAUGUCAGAUGUUAAUAGGUGGAACACCAGGUCAGCAAAUGUACCCGUCACGUGGAAAAUUUUCUCCAUGGACACCAAUCAGGUGUUGGUGGAUGUGGGCAUGGCCAGGAAAGACUCAUCAAUCAACGAGUUUCUCUCUGGCAAGUGUACGCCCUUUUUUGGGAAGCUUAAGUUUGUCUUACUGCAACAUGUCAGGUUCCCAAUAAUCUGUGUACACUAUCUUCGUUGAAGCAUUUGAAUCUAAUUGGUAAUCCAAUUUUGUGCCUACCACAAAAAAUGAAGAGUCUUAUUAUGCUUGAGACUCUUUUGUUAGAUAAUUGCACGAACCUCGAAAUUCUUCCAGAGCUCCCACCAAGGUUGAAGAGGUUAGAAGCAAAAUAUUGUACUUCAUUGAAAAGAUUAAGAAAUUUACCAAACUUAUUCAGAUCAUUGGAAUCACUUUUUUGGGGUUAUGAGCAUUUAGUUGAAGUUGAAAGCUUGUUGAAUAUAAAACCGUUGAGAAAUGCUGACAUAGAAAUGACAAGAUAUAUGGGCCUGUGCAGUUUGAAAUCCAUAUCAAGCACUGGUGUCGAAAGAUCUCCAUCUAGCCAAAAUAAUGUUGUUGCUGGAGAUGUGUCAAUGUCAGCAUAAGAGUACCAAAUGUGGACAGGAAAAUACUUUCUCAGUAAUCAUAGGCACCGUACUCAUCAGGCUCAAUGGUUCACAACUUAUUCAAGGCCCAAGGACCAUUGGAAAAUAUUGCGAGAGAGGAUGUCCAGCAGAUUCCCCAUCUGCUUCUCGUAAUCUGUUUUGGCGAAAAUGAAGAGAAACAUCCUCAGUUCUUUGUCCAACAUCAGUCAUUUCAUUUAUGGUUGGAAAGAAAGACCAGCAUCAUUUUCCUUGGUGAGUAUCGUCGUUUUGUUCUUUCUUGUUCUCGUUCUGAGUAUAUACUCAUGGCUUUGUUGGAUUUGUUGCGCUUUUUGCUUAUUGUCAUAAAGAGCAAUCAAGGAAAAAAAAACCGGAACAGUCUGCAUGAGUUUGUUGGAAAUUAUAUAUUAUAGUAUAAAAUAUUGUAAUAUAUAAUUUUAAUAAUUGAAUGAAAAAAAUAGUGUUAACCAUAUUUCUUAGAAAUGUUAUGUUAUUUAGGUGCAUUCCCUUGUUAAAUAAUGUAUACUUAUAGAUGAAAAGUUACAUCUCCUAACAAGAAGUACUUGGGUUCUAUUUAAACUCAUGAAACCAUUAUCAUUAAAUAUAGAAAAUUAGAGUUAAUUUUUACUCUUGAGAAAUAAGGUUUUCUCACUUUGUUUCUCUCAUGGUUCGUGUGUCAAAUUCCAAGUCAUGUCUUGAAAGUACGGAAUAUAUAAAGUUCGUCAGAGUUUGAAGAUUGAAGUGCUUUGACUUCGGAUUAUGGAUUUUUGAAUCUUGAGAGAUGGACACCUACUGAACUACAAGCACACGAGUAUGGGCGAAAUUCUAUCUUUAGGACAUUACAUUUAUGCAAGCCUCAAUCUCCAAGUUUGUCAGUUUUUCUAACUUUAUCUCUAGUUGUUUAUAUUAAUCUCCAAUUGGACCUGUUUCAAAAAAUAGGUUAAAAAAAUUAGACCUAUUUCAAAUUAUCCCUUAUUAUUAUUACAUUUCUUAUGUUAUUUUCAUAUUUUCUAAUCUUCAACAGAGUUUGCAUAUGAAGUUUUCAACCCCCUAUAGAGCAAAACCAACUUGAGCGUAACAGCAGUGGGGCAACAUAUGUUUCUGAAAAUCCUACAGUUAGUUUCCCUCCAAAACUCCUUACAAACGAAUCUUGAGCACCUGCAUUGCCUAAUAAUUGUUUUAACUACCAUGUUAACAGAAGUAAUAACUGUAAACGGACUAUAACAGUUGAGAAAUAUUUAAGUACCAAAAAGAGUCAGCUAUAUCAGAAUAAUUAUACUAGAGUUGAGUCGUUUAACUUCUCAUCUGUUAUGGCUUAGUCCUUUUAUGGCGGACAUUAACUCCGUUUUUCUAUAUUUUCAGAGAAAGUUCGUAAAAUUUAAAUCCUAUUGUUCUUUUUUGGCCUUUUUCUAAUAUUUUUCUGCCUUUUUCUACUGUAGUACUACUCCAGACAAUAAUCCUAGUGGCCCAAAAUUAUAUCCUAACUUUAAAUCCCAAUUAAGGUGAUAUAAUUGGUUUUUUAUGUUUAUGCUCNNNNNNNNNNNNNNNNNNNNNNNNNNNNNNNNNNNNNNNNNNNNNNNNNNNNNNNNNNNNNNNNNNNNNNNNNNNNNNNNNNNNNNNNNNNNNNNNNNNNNNNNNNNNNNNNNNNNNNNNNNNNNNNNNNNNNNNNNNNNNNNNNNNNNNNNNNNNNNNNNNNNNNNNNNNNNNNNNNNNNNNNNNNNNNNNNNNNNNNNNNNNNNNNNNNNNNNNNNNNNNNNNNNNNNNNNNNNNNNNNNNNNNNNNNNNNNNNNNNNNNNNNNNNNNNNNNNNNNNNNNNNNNNNNNNNNNNNNNNNNNNNNNNNNNNNNNNNNNNNNNNNNNNNNNNNNNNNNNNNNNNNNNNNNNNNNNNNNNNNNNNNNNNNNNNNNNNNNNNNNNNNNNNNNNNNNNNNNNNNNNNNNNNNNNNNNNNNNNNNNNNNNNNNNNNNNNNNNNNNNNNNNNNNNNNNNNNNNNNNNNNNNNNNNNNNNNNNNNNNNNNNNNNNNNNNNNNNNNNNAGUCUAUGAAUGUGGCGUAUAUAGCAUUUUCCUUCCUGGAAGCAAGAUUCCAGAUGGAUUUGGCUUCACAACAAUAUAUGGAUCAGCGCUGUCGGCUAUUGCAUCUUCACAUCCUAAUCUCAAAAUCCAAGCCUUGAAUGUAUGUGUUUUAUAUGCAAUAGAACCGGGCUUGGCAAUUGAUGACUAUCUUGUUAGUGCUCAGCAUUUAAUUAAAGUCAGUAAUCAGACCAAGGGUCUUAUGUGGACCUAUUCCUCAGUCACAGUAGGUUUUCCAACUGAGAAGGAAGAUAUGUUAUGGCUAAGCCAUUUUCAAAUUGGGAACAAUGAAUUGGAGUAUGGGGACCAAAUACGUGUUUCGGUGGAGAUGCAUGAUUUUUGGAUAAAGGAGUUCGGAAUCCAGCUUGUGUACGAGCAGGAAAGACCUCCUUCUAGCCAGAAUAAUGUUGUUGCUGGAGAUGUGUCAAUGUCAGCAUCAGAGUACCAAACGUGGACAGGAUCAUACUUUCUCAGUAAUCAUAGGCGCCGUACUCAUCAAACUCAAUUCCGAAAGAGACAGAAGAAUCCAGCACAUAUUGAAUUUUCGUUUGAGCCAAAGCAUUAGCUUCAUACUUAUUCAAGGCCCAAAGACAACAACAACAACAACAACAACAACAACAAAGCCUUUUCCCACCAAGUGGGGUCGGCUAUAUGAAUCCUAGAACGCCAUUGCGCUCGGUUUUGUGUCAUGUCCUCCGUUAGAUCCAAGUACUAAAAAGUCUUUUCUUAGAGUCUCUUUCCAAAGUUUUCCUAGGUCUUCCUCUACCCCUUCGGCCCUGAACCUCUGUCCCGUAGUCACAUCUUCGAACCGGAGCGUCAGUCGGCCUUCUUUGCACAUGUCCAAAUCACCGGAGCCGAUUUUCUCUCAUCUUUCCUACAAUUUCGGCUACUCCUACUUUACCUCGGAUAUCCUCAUUCCCAAUCUUAUCAUUUCUCGUGUGCCCACAAAUCCCACGAAGCAUCCUCAUCUCCGCUACACCCAUUUUGUGUACGUGUUGAUGCUUCACCACCCAACAUUCUGUGCCAUACAACAUCGCUGGCCUUAUUGUCGUCCUAUAAAAUUUUCCCUUGAGCUUCAAUGGCCUACGACGGUCACACAACACGCCGGAUGCACUCUUUCCAUCCAGCUCGUAUUCUAUGGUUGAGAUCUCCAUCUAAUUCUCCGUUCUCUCUUGCAAGAUAAAUCCUAGGUAGCGAAAACGAUCGCUUUUUGUGAUCUUCGCUAGAUUGCUCCGGUCAUUAGUGUGGAUAAGUAUAUAAAUGGAUAGAGAUAGGAAAGCAAAUACAAGAUGUACGUGGUUCACCCAGAUUGGCUACGUCCACGGAAUAGAAGAGUUCUCAUUAAUUGUGAAAGGUUUACACAAGUACAUAGGUUCAAGCUCUCCUUUAGUGAGUACAAGUGAAUGAUUUAGUACAAAUGACAUUAGGAAAUAUUGUGGGAGAAAGAUCUCGUAAUCACGAAACUUCUAAGUAUCGGAGUGUGGUGUGUCGUCUUGACUUGCCUUAUCUGUCUCAUAGGUAGAUGUGGCAUCUUCUCUCUGGAAGUACUCUUCCUCCAUCCAGGGGUGGUAUCUUUAACUGGUGGAGAUGCACAAGGUAAUGUAUCAAUUUCACUUGAAGCUUACUUGUAGUUUCAGGCUUGGUCAAGCGCGAUACAAACCAUGUAGUAGGAGUCCCCCAAGUCGCCGAGCUGGUGGAGAUGCCCUAUCUGUUCCUCAAGCAGAUGCGGAAUCUUCCCUGGAAACAUAAGAUGUUGAAGAUGAGUACUCGAGAGCAAUGCCAGGUAAGUAAUCAGGUAAGGGGUUCCAGGCAGUCAGUUCCUGGCUGGAAGCUUGAUUCCAAGUGCUGACUGAUUGCUCUCUUUCUCCUUGUCUUGCAGGUAAAAACAAGGCCAAAAGAAAAAACAGGGAAAAAGCAUGAUAUGGGAUACUCUUGCUUUUAACCCUGAUGAUAUGAGAUAUUCUUGCUCUAGUAUAGCUUGUUUGCAGAGGUAUUAUCGGGGGGAAAGAAAGCUGAAUAUUUCGAAAGGCUUCGUUGGGAGUGCCCUCUCAGAUAUGAUGAAGGGUUGAGCAUUUUUGCAGGUCUGCCUGUCCGUUGGGGAUGGAGGUCGACAUAUAUAGGAGUCUCCCUAACAACAAGUAGUAAUGCUAUUCCUUUACCCUGCUUGGUCAUAGCACGGUAGUGGGAGCUGCUAGUUUCACAUGUUUUAACUCUGUCAGAGCACUUUGAAAAAGUGGUCUGUGGUAUCUGGCUCUCGAGAUUCGGAGAACGAUGCCUCUUCGAGUUUUGAGAAAGCAAUCAUGAUGGGGGUCUGACUCUCGAGAUUCGGAGAGCAGUGUCUCUUAGAUUUUUGAGGAAGUAAUCAUGUUGGGAGUCUGGCUCUCGAGAUUCGGAGGGGCGGUGCCUCUUCGAUUUUGGAGCAAGCAAUCUUGUUGGGAGUGUUGUCUCGAAUGUGAGUAAAGGUUGGACAUGUUUGCUAGUCUACCUUGCCACGAAGCACAAAGGUUGACACACACAGGGACUUUCCAAUUAUCCAGCAAUGGUACUGUUCCUUUACCCUAUCUUCGAUUUUGAGAAAGUAGUUAUGUUGGGAGUCUGGCUCUCGAGAUUCGGAGGACGGUGCCUCUUCGAUUUUGGAGCAAGCAAUCUUGUUGGGAGUGUUUUCUCGAAUGUGAGUAAAGGUUGGGCAUGUUUGCUAGUCUACCUUGCCACGAAGCACACAGAGGUUGACACACAGGGACUUUCCAAUUAUCCAGCAGUGGUACUGUUCCUUUACCCUUGUGGGUAAUAAUAUGGUAGCUAGACCUUCAAAAUUUAUGUGUCUAAACUUUGUUAGUGCUGUUUCUUUGCUAUUCUUUUACCUUUCUUGGUCAGAGCGAUGUAGUGGGAGCUGCAAGCUUCACGUGCUCAACUUUGGCAGAGAACUUUGGCAAAGUUAUCUGUGGUACCCAUGAGUUAUUGUUGUGUGUGGGAAGUGGGUGAUUGAACAGUAAGAUUCAUGUGCUUUCUACUUCACCAGAAGUCUUCGACAGAAUGCCCAUAAUUUCUGCAAAGCUGAGUGUGCGUGUGACAGGUGCUGACAAGGCUAGAAAAGUAGGUGCCUCUUCGAUUUCUGAGAUCGGCCCUCGUGGUCUCUGAGCAGCCCCAGCUUUUGAGAAAGCGAACGCCUCUUCGAUUGAUUCGGAGAACGAUGCCUCAUCGAUUUUUGAGAAAGCAAUCAUGCUGGGGGUCUGGCUCUCGAGAUUCGGGGAGCAGUCUCUUCGAUUUUUUGAGAAAGUAAUCAUGUUGGGAGAGUGGCUCUCGAGAUUCGGAAGGCGGUGCCUCUUCGAUUUUGGAGCAAGCAAUCUUGUUGGGGGUGUUUUCUCGAAUGUGAGUAAAGGUUGGGCAUGUUUGCUAGUCUACCUUGCCACGAAGCACAGAGGUUGACACACACAGGGACUUUCCAAUUAUCCAGCAAUGGUACUGUUCCUUUACCCUCUCUUUCGAUUUUUAAGAAAGUAAUCAUGUUGGGAGUCUGGCUCUUUAGAUUCGGAGGACGGUGCCUCUUCGAUUUUGGAGCAAGCAAUCUUAUUGGGAGUGUUUUCUCGAAUGUGAGUAAAGGUUGGGCAUGUUUGCUAGUCUACCUUGCCACGAAGCACAGAGGUUGACACACAGGGACUUUCCAAUUAUCCAGCAGUGGUACUGUUCCUUUACCCUUGUGGGUAAUAAUAUGGUAGCUAGACCUUCAAAAAUUUAUGGGUCUAAACUUUGUUAGUGUUGUUUCUUUGCUAUUCUUUUACCUUUGUUGGUCAAAGCGAUGUAGUGGGAGCUGCAAGCUUCACGUGCUCAACUUUGGCAGAGAACUUUGGCAAAGUUAUAUGUGGUACCCAUGAGCUAUUGUUGCGUGUGGGAAGUGGGUGAUUGAACAGUAAGAUUCAUGUGUUUUCUACUUCCCCAGAAGUCUUUGACAGAAUGCCCAUAAUUUCCGCAAAGCUGAGUGUGCGUGUGACAGGUGCUGACAAGGCUGGAAAAGUAGAUGCCUCUUCGAUUUCUGAGAUCGGCCCUCGUGGUCUCUGGGGAGCCCAGCUUUUGAGAAAGCGAGCGCCUCUUCGAUUUCUGAGAUCGGCCUUCGUGGUCUUUAAGCAGCCCAACUUUUGAGAAAUCAAACGCCUCUUCGAUUUCUGAGAUCAACCCUCGUGAUCUCUAAGCAGCCCAACUUUUGAGAAAGCAAACGCCUCUUCGAUUUCUGAAGCUCCGUCGAGUGCAGAUUUUUAUAGGGGCUGGCAUUAAGUUCCAAAGCACACUUGAAUCUCCACCAGUAGAAGCUUCAUUCUUGCACUUCUAAGAUCUUGAUUUGUCCGACCUCUUCUCUCUUCAACACCUUUGAAAAUGUCUGGCCCCUCCGACCGUCGUUUUGACUUAAACCUUGUUGAAGAGGCAGCCCCGCCUUCUCCAGACAACAUAUGGCGCCCAUCCUUCGUCUCCCCAACUGGUCCUCUUACCGUUGGGGAUUCCGUGAUGAAGAAUGAUAUGACCGCUGCGGUGGUGGCCAGGAACCUUCUCACUCCCAAAGAUAACAGACUACUUUCCAAACGGUCUGAUGAGUUAGCUGUUAAGGAUUCGUUGGCUCUCAGUGUUCAGUGUGCAGGUUCUGUGUCUAAUAUGGCCCAACGCCUAUUUGCUCGAACCCGCCAAGUUGAAUCAUUGGCGGCUGAAGUGAUGAGUCUCAAAACAGGAGAUUAGAGGGCUCAAGCAUGAGAAUAAACAGUUGCACCGGCUCGCACAUGACUAUGCUACAAACAUGAAGAGGAAGCUUGAUCAGAUGAAGGAAACUGAUGGUCAGGUUUUACUUGAUCAUCAGAGAUUUGUGGGUUUGUUCCAAAGGCAUUUAUUGCCUUCGUCUUCUGGGGCUGUACCACGUAAUGAAGCUCCAAAUGAUCAACCUCUGAUGCCUCCUCCUUCUAGGGUUCUGUCCAGUACUGAGGCUCCAAAUGAUCCCCCUCUGAUGCCUUCUCUUUCUGGGGCUCUACCGACUGCUGAGACUUCUCCUAAGCAACCUUUGUGAAGGCUCCCUCUUGUGUGUUUAUUUUGACUCAUGUAUAUGUACAUAUUUGUAGCUUAUCGGGGAUAUCAAUAAAUAAGCUUUCCUUCAUUUCAACGUAUUGUGUUAAAUACACCAAAUCCUUCUUCGCUAAGUUCUUUGAAUUUUCUUUUGUUGAAGCUUGUAUGUUGAAGCUUGUAUGAUUCAAGGCCCAAAGACCAUUGAAAAUAUUUUGAAACUUAGAGCAUGUCCAGCAGAUUCCCCAUCUACAUCUACUCACCUAUUUUGGAGAAAAUGAAGAGAAACCUCCUUAGUACUUUUUCCAACAUCAUUCGUUCAUGGUUGGAAGGAAAGAUCAGCAUCAAUUAUCCUGGUGAGUGUCGUCUUUUUGUUCUUUCUUGUUGAAUUUUUGAUGUGUAUUUCAUAUCAAAACAAUUACAAGAUGAAACAUUAUAUAGGAAAAGAAAGAGAACAUAAGCCUAAACUUGCCUAACUUGCCUAACUUGCCUAAUUUCCUAACUUGCCUAACUUGCCUAAUUUACACAAAGAAGGUUGACUAGCCUAACUUCACUAGUCAUCCAACAUGUUUAUUUCAUGCAUGCAUUUUAACAAAAGAUAUGACUUGCAUGAAUUCCAACAUUUCUUGUUAUAUCUUUCUCAAUAUAAACUCAUGGGUUUGUUGGAUUUGUUGCUCUUUGUUUAUUGCUUUGAUUUGUUAAUUGAAUGAAUAUAUUAAACAAAAGGAGGGGAAAGCUCUACGAACUCGUGUAGUUGAUGCAUGUAGUACUCAGUACUACUCUUUCAGACAAUAAUCCUAACUUUUAAUCCCACUUAACGUAAUACAAUUUGGUGUCUGUAGUAUGUUUGGUGGUCUAGAUCACUCAUUUGAGAUAUACAUGUGAACCAGAAAGCUGUUUAACUUGGAAAAAGGCGAAAUUUAGCAUGCCCAUGAACUUUUAAAAUGUUGGGAGCAGCUCAGGUUUGAGUCCCAGCAAAGGAAUGCUUUUCUUAAUUUUUGCACGACUUACAGCUGGUGCGAGGGACCUCUGCGCGUUAACUAUGUGUCAGUCUGGGUCCAUUUAUUCCCUAGCCAUCAGUGUGCUGUCUAACUUUGUCUUUUAUAUUCACAAAAAAGCAUUGGCAGUCUUGACAGUGUCGAAACUGUUUACCGUGUUCAAACCGUGUGCAGGGCGUGUCAGCAUGUCAGAGUGUCUGACACUUUGAGGUUUGGGAGUGUCCGUGCAACCUAGGCUUCAAGGACGAGAUGGACAAGGUGGAGAAGUGGAGAAGAGCGCUUACUGAUGUUGCAAAUCUGGGAGGGAUGGUUCUAGAAGAUCGGUAAUUUCGUAAAACAUUUUCUUUAAUUUGAAAGUAUUAUCUAUAUAUGACCUUUUAGAGGUCGCACUUGGUGCGAUGGCAAGUGCCUUCGCCUAUGAGCGGUAGGUCUCAGGUUUGAGACUUGGGAGAGCAGCCUCUCCAUAAAUGGGGUAAGGCUAGCCGACAUUCACCUCUCCCAGACCCUGCGUAAAGCGGGAGCCUUGUGCACUGGGUACGACCUUUUUUUAUCUAUAUAUGACCUUUUAUAACUUGUUUAUUAGGCACAUUAUUGUUAGCUUAUUGGAGACUAAGGCCACCCCUCUUUCUUUUAGGGUAGAUAAUAUCGUUUGUUGACAAAAAAAAAAAAAAAAAAACUUGUUUAUUAGGUUGAUGAUAGUAAAGCCAUAUGGAGUUGACGGAUUUUGGGUUUAUAACUUUAUACUAUCUUUCAUGUACCUGUGCAGCAAUAUUUUUUAGAAGAUUCAAAUUUUCAAGUCAAUUUUUCAAUGUCUUAUAUAUAAUCUACCUGCAUUACUCAUGUCAAUCAUCAAUUACUCUUUUCUUUAGAUAAAAAUUACAUAGUCUUCAUAUGAUUUGAUGUCUAAUGACCAUAUGUUGUAGGGUAUGAGUGGCAGUUUAUCCAAGAUAUUGUUCAAGAGGUUGGAAGUAAGCUGGAUCGCGUGGCAGUAAAUGUUGCUCCCUAUGCUGUUGGAAUCGAUAAUUGUGUGCACGGAAUCAACAGAUGGUUAAAAGAUGAUUCGGGUGAUGCUGGUGCAGCGGUUAUCUAUGGGAUGGGUGGAAUUGGCAAAACCACCAUUGCCAAAGCUGCUAAUAAGACGAACCUUGCAAAAUUUUAAGGAAACGACAGCUUUCUUGCAGAUAUUGGCUUGCAAAUAAAUCUUCUUUCCGAUAUCCAAAGGGUGAAAGUAAAGAAAAUAAGCAAACAUGAAGGACUGAUCAAGAUUAAGCAUGCUGUAGGUUGCAAUAGAGUUCUUAUAGUUCUUGAUGAUGUGAACCAUUUGGACCAAUUCAAUGCAAUUCUUGGAAUGCGAUAGUGUUUUCACCCGGGAAGUAAAAGUUACCGUAACAACUAGACAUAAAAGGCUCAUGAUAUUUAUCCAGUAUUUGAGAUUAAAGAACUGAGUGAAUAUGAAAACACUGAAGCUUUUCAAGCGACAUGCCUUCGGGCAAGCCAAUCCCAUUGAAAGUUACUUGGAGUCAUGAACCUCGACCAAAUUGAAGCAAUCUUUGAGAAUCAAUUGCUAAUGGUUUGGGACUUCUGACAAGUUGGGGGUUGUCAUAAGGCCAUGUGAGUGACUGAGAUUAACGGUUCAGUCUUGGAAGGGAACCAGGGUAUGUUCUAAUCUCUCUCUCUCUCUCUCUCAAAAUACACACAAUCAAAAAUAAAUUUCAGUGAAAUUAAACUGUGUAUUCAUAGCAACUAAUGACUUCUCUUUGACACAGUUUCUUAGAAGAUUGAAAAUUCUAAAUCUUAGUCAUUCGCAUGGCCUUAGGACAACAUCUGACUUGUCCGGACUCCCUAAAGGAUUGCAUUAAUUUGAUUGAUGUUGAUGAAUCCAUUGGAAACUUGGGGAAACUUAUUUUCUUGAAUCUAAAAGACUGCAAAAGUCUUAUGAAGCUUCCAAAAAGAAUGAACAUGUUGAGGUCUCUUGAGGAAUUUAUUCUUACUGGUUGCUCAAAGCUUGUUCUUCAUGACAGUGCCACGGUUAUUCAUUUACACUCUACAUCUAGGGAUAUGAAUAAACUUAGACUGUUAUCAAUUAUAUCAUCGACACGAGAAAUUUUUCCAAAUGACCGGUACAACUGUUGAGUUGGAGUUCCCCUCCAAUUACAUGAUGCCACAUAUCCUACUACAGCUGCAUAGAUUAGUUUUGUUUAAUAAAAAAAAAAAAGAAAAAGAAAAAACUUGUAGAAGGUGUAAAGUCACCCUCCCAGCGGCCGAUCCCCACCAAGGCGACUCACUUCCGAUUGACGACGACGAAGAAGAUUUCAGCUUCCUCGAGGACCCCACCGACCACAGCGCCGCCGCCCCGCACCAUUCAGAUUCGGACAAUUACGACGAUUUCGAGAACUUCUCCGAUGUCGACGAGGACGCUUUCAGGAGAUGAUGGCAGGCUUGGUAGCCCCAAGACUCCUAACUGGGUUUAUGGCAUUUUCAGUGAUGGGGAUGGGGUGGUGGCCAUUUUCGGUGAUGGGUUGAUGCAAUUUUGGGUUUUUGAUCAAAACCCAUCAAAAUUCACCACCACUUAGUCAAAAAUCCAAAUCAAACCCCAACAAAAACAAUCAAAUUCACAAGUUUUAUCUGAGAAAGAAAAAAAAACAUGAACAGAUUAUGGAAAAGGGUGGAAUGGAUGCGGGUGGGGCGUAAUAGAAUGGAAAAGAGAGGAAUCUGUGUUCUUCAUUUAAUUAAUUUAAAUUCUAUUCUUAAAAUAAAUAUUAUUUGUCAUUAUAAAAGAUGAUGUCAACCUAGAUGUCAGAUGUUAAUAGGUGGAACACCAGGUCAGCAAAUGUACCCGUCACGUGGAAAAUUUUCUCCAUGGACACCAAUCAGGUGUUUGGUGGAUGUGGGCAUGGCCAGGAAAGACUCAUCAAUCAACGAGUUUCUCUCUGGCAAGUGUACGCCCUUUUUUGGGGAAGCUUAAGUUUGUCUUACUGCAACAUGUCAGGUUCCCAAUAAUCUGUGUACACUAUCUUCGUUGAAGCAUUUGAAUCUAAUUGGUAAUCCAAUUUUGUGCCUACCACAAAAAAUGAAGAGUCUUAUUAUGCUUGAGACUCUUUUGUUAGAUAAUUGCACGAACCUCGAAAUUCUUCCAGAGCUCCCACCAAGGUUGAAGAGGUUAGAAGCAAAAUAUUGUACUUCAUUGAAAAGAUUAAGAAAUUUACCAAACUUAUUCAGAUCAUUGGAAUCACUUUUUUGGGGUUAUGAGCAUUUAGUUGAAGUUGAAAGCUUGUUGAAUAUAAAACCGUUGAGAAAUGCUGACAUAGAAAUGACAAGAUAUAUGGGCCUGUGCAGUUUGAAAUCCAUAUCAAGCACUGGUGUCGAAAGAUCUCCAUCUAGCCAAAAUAAUGUUGUUGCUGGAGAUGUGUCAAUGUCAGCAUAAGAGUACCAAAUGUGGACAGGAAAAUACUUUCUCAGUAAUCAUAGGCACCGUACUCAUCAGGCUCAAUGGUUCACAACUUAUUCAAGGCCCAAGGACCAUUGGAAAAUAUUGCGAGAGGAUGUCCAGCAGAUUCCCCAUCUGCUUCUCGUAAUCUGUUUUGGCGAAAAUGAAGAGAAACAUCCUCAGUUCUUUGUCCAACAUCAGUCAUUUCAUUUAUGGUUGGAAAGAAAGACCAGCAUCAUUUUCCUUGGUGAGUAUCGUCGUUUUGUUCUUUCUUGUUCUCGUUCUGAGUAUAUACUCAUGGCUUUGUUGGAUUUGUUGCGCUUUUUGCUUAUUGUCAUAAAGAGCAAUCAAGGAAAAAAAACCGGAACAGUCUGCAUGAGUUUGUUGGAAAUUAUAUAUUAUAGUAUAAAAUAUUGUAAUAUAUAAUUUUAAUAAUUGAAUGAAAAAAUAGUGUUAACCAUAUUUCUUAGAAAUGUUAUGUUAUUUAGGUGCAUUCCCUUGUUAAAUAAUGUAUACUUAUAGAUGAAAAGUUACAUCUCCUAACAAGAAGUACUUGGGUUCUAUUUAAACUCAUGAAACCAUUAUCAUUAAAUAUAGAAAAUUAGAGUUAAUUUUUACUCUUGAGAAAUAAGGUUUUCUCACUUUGUUUCUCUCAUGGUUCGUGUGUCAAAUUCCAAGUCAUGUCUUGAAAGUACGGAAUAUAUAAAGUUCGUCAGAGUUUGAAGAUUGAAGUGCUUUGACUUCGGAUUAUGGAUUUUUGAAUCUUGAGAGAUGGACACCUACUGAACUACAAGCACACGAGUAUGGGCGAAAUUCUAUCUUUAGGACAUUACAUUUAUGCAAGCCUCAAUCUCCAAGUUUGUCAGUUUUUCUAACUUUAUCUCUAGUUGUUUAUAUUAAUCUCCAAUUGGACCUGUUUCAAAAAUAGGUUAAAAAAUUAGACCUAUUUCAAAUUAUCCCUUAUUAUUAUUACAUUUCUUAUGUUAUUUUCAUAUUUUCUAAUCUUCAACAGAGUUUGCAUAUGAAGUUUUCAACCCCCUAUAGAGCAAAACCAACUUGAGCGUAACAGCAGUGGGGCAACAUAUGUUUCUGAAAAUCCUACAGUUAGUUUCCCUCCAAAACUCCUUACAAACGAAUCUUGAGCACCUGCAUUGCCUAAUAAUUGUUUUAACUACCAUGUUAACAGAAGUAAUAACUGUAAACGGACUAUAACAGUUGAGAAAUAUUUAAGUACCAAAAAGAGUCAGCUAUAUCAGAAUAAUUAUACUAGAGUUGAGUCGUUUAACUUCUCAUCUGUUAUGGCUUAGUCCUUUUAUGGCGGACAUUAACUCCGUUUUUCUAUAUUUUCAGAGAAAGUUCGUAAAAUUUAAAUCCUAUUGUUCUUUUUUGGCCUUUUUCUAAUAUUUUUCUGCCUUUUUCUACUGUAGUACUACUCCAGACAAUAAUCCUAGUGGCCCAAAAUUAUAUCCUAACUUUAAAUCCCAAUUAAGGUGAUAUAAUUGGUUUUUUAUGUUUAUGCUCGCUAGAAACCUCAUUGAUCACUCAUUGGUGCCUGUAGUAUUUGUGGUGUUCUAGAUCACUCAUUUGAGCAAUACAUGCGAACCAAAAUGUGGGUAGCAGCUCAGGUUCAUGCUUUCUUAAUUUUUGCACGACUAGCAGCUGGUGCAAGGGACCUCCUUGUGUUAACUACGUGCCAGUCUGGGUCCAUUUACUGCACGUUAACUUGGGAAUGACCUAACGAGGACCUGAGAUACUCAAGAACCCGUACCACACUUUUUCUUUUUCUCUCUUUUUCCUUUUUGUUUUAGGAUUGGUUUGGUAUUGCUGUGUUUUGAAAAAAAAUUAUUGUGAAAAUAAGCGGGUGUGCUGUAAGAAUAAGCGGCUGUGAAAUAAAUCAGCAGGGUGUUUGGUAAACUUUUUUGUAAAAAUACUUUUGGAAAAAAAAGCAGUCUAAUAGUGGGUCUUUUCAUUAAAGAAGCAUUGUAGCUCCGUGUGUUUUAAAAAAAAGCCAAUUUUCCAAAACUGCAAAUAGCAGCUUCAGCUUUUUCCUUUGAUUUCAGCUUAUUCUCACAGCAGCUUCCAAAAUAAGCUUUUUUUUUUCAGUUUACCAAACACCUAAAACCCUCACAGUUUUUUUUCAUGGGUGUUUUUUUUUUAAGCACCUCACUCCCAAACUAGGUCUUAGUCAUAUCUUUUUCUUUCCGUGCGGACCUCAUCGAAAUCAAACAAAAAAAGGAAAAAUUAAACUCAUCAUUAACUUCCGGAUGAAACUUUAAACCAAGUGGUGUGAGAUUUUUCCAUGAUUCAGGUGGGGGGAGGUGGGCUGGGGUCAGUUCUCAUUAUUUACUCACCCCUACACAUCUGUGCAUCCACCCCAAUUUAGAUGUUUUGGGACCUUGGACUAACAAUAUUUUUUAAGAGGUGUGAUAUCCACACACCUCAUUUUACUUCUCACGCAUCCUUGAUAAUUUCUGUCCGUUGAUCUUCUUCAAUUCAUCCGAUCUGACGGCCGAAAAUUAUAAAGGUGUGUGAGAAGUAAAAUGGGGUGUGUGAAUAUCAUACCUCUUUUUCAAAUACUAGAGAUGAGAUUGGAGAGAGAUGUGAGGAGGGAGGAGGAGCGAGAGAGAAUAGUACGGUUACAUUUUAGAAUUUUUAUGACAUAAAAUAUUAAUAAUGAUAAAAGUUAACUAGAGUUAUGUGAGAGGACAUAUAUCAAGCUAAAAGUGUGUGGAUAGCAUACAUCAGGAUAAGUUCAAUGCAUUUUUACUCACUGCUCUCAAGUGAUGGUGAUGCUCACAAUAUUUUUAUUACAGUUCGAUAAGUUUAAUUUUUAAAAUUUAUGUCUUCCACAGCAAAACAGAUUACAAAUAAUAAACAUACGAACAAACGGAUUACAAAUUAUUGAAUAUAUUUGACUAACAAAACAACAAAGAAACAGGAUUGUCGAGACGACUACACUCAACUACAUAGCAACUUAUUAUCCAUCUAAACAAACUACAUUUGUGGGGAGCAAAAUCUAAGAAAUCCUAAUUCAAAUGGGAUAGACCUAAAUCAUAAACUAAUAAGCAAAACCAAAUAAUGAAAUAACUAAUUUUUCAACACUCGUCAAAUUCAAGAGGGUACGUGACAUGAGUUUACCAACAAAUAAAUUUUAAUUUAGACAUAAUGAUGUUGAGAGUAUAAAAAGAAAGUAAAUAAGUACUCACCACAAAUAAGAUUUUCAUAUUUCAAUUCCAACAAUGAACAAACAAAAACAACACUUUCACUCGAAUAUUCACAGAUCCCAAACAAGCCAAUAACUCGCAUCGGCCUCAAGGACUUCAUAAAACAAACCGCCCAUUUCAUUUUUCCCUUUGCCCGUGUGGGCCAAAACCUCAACCAAUUUCCAAUUAUUUCUUUUCCGUGUGGACCUCAAACAUACCACCACUUUUUCUUCUUUUUCUUUUUCUAUCUUUUUUCCUUUUCUUUUUCCCCAUCUUUUACUCACCCUCGUUUACCAAAAAGAAAAAGCAAAGAGAAAACAAAAGAUUCGUCCUUCUUCUUCAGCUGCUCUGGUAGCAUCUCCCACCUCCUCUUCUUCAUCAACUAUUAAGACCGACUCCCAUUCAGAUCCUUGAAAAUUUGGGCAUGGAACUAUAGUUAUCUACUUAAGGUUGCGAGUGAGCAAAAUUUGAUUUGUGAAAUCGUCCAUUUCAAAGUGUCUUUUUGAAGAAACUAGUUGGGACUUUCAUCCAACAGCUUGCCGGCAGAAAGAAAAUUCGCAGCUUUCGGUAUCUUACAAUACACAACUCUGGUGUGUGCGAGGUACCUUCAAGCUCCCCUCUUGUGAAAACAUACAUCUGCUUUAGCUUUCAAUUGAAAUCUUCAUGGCCGAUGAGUCAAAUGCAUUGACUUUGGAUCCUCUUGCUUUCUUAUCUUUAUUUUUCUUUUUAAUAUUUUCCUAUUAAAACUAAGAUCUAAAGUCUUUAAAUUCAUGGAAAUUAUUUUGUAAGACUUCAAUAUUUUUUUUUUUUUUUCAGAAACGUGAACUAAAUCCAUUUCAUGAAGAAAGAUCUAGUCCUUUUCGUUUUUUUCUUCUUAAAAUAAAUAUGAGUCAUUAUUAUUAAUAAUUAAUUUUUUUUAAAUUGGUAGAAUAUAUUUUUGCAUAAAGUUUUAAUAAGAAUUUCUUUUAGGAUUACACAUAAUGUGUCGUUAGCUUUUUACAUACCAAAUUUAUGAUAAUAUUUAUGUACGGAUAGUUUUCUAUGUAUUUAAAUAAUAAUUACAUAACAUACCAAAACAAAUUUGUACACAAAUUUGAAUUACAUAGCAUGCCAAUAACGUACCAAAUUAUUGACACGUUACAUUUAGUAAAUAAAAGCAUUGAUAUAUAUAUAUAUAUAUAUAUAUGUAAUAUCGUUUAGAAUUUUAAAGUACGUUGGUACUUUUAAAAUAUCACGUUUGAUUUUUUUUUGUUUUUUGCAACCACAGUUUAACUUUAUUUUAUUUUAUAAACAAUUCAACUUUUAUUGUUUUUAUAGAACUUUUAUUGUUUUUUAUUCUUUUAAAAUAUAUUGAAAUAAAAAGAUAUAAAUUAACAAUAUAUUGAAAAAAAAUUAGAUAUUUGGUCUAAGAAAUUAAAAAACCGCGCAUCUAGAUCAAAAAGAUAUAAAUUAACAUUAUUUGUUUGUUUUUUAUUCUUACUAGACAACAAUUUAUCUUUUUUUUUGGCCUUCUGAGUGCUACUCGAGACUCCAACUUAUUAGAUUUUCCAUCAAUUUUUGAGAUCCCAAAUGGCGAGCCAAUGUUUCAACGCGUAUUCUAUUCACAUUUUACAACUAAUAAGAAUUUGCCUUGUGACUUGGUAACCAAUAACUGGUGUCUCUUGUACUAUUAUUAUGUUUAUCAUAUGAUUCAUAUGAUGCAUCUCAGUGUAAAAUCCGAUAUGUUUGGUAGCUGGAGAAUAUAUUCUCAAUUUGCAUUCCAAUUUGUAUAUAAUAACUCUUCUUCAUGCAUUCACUGCUACAGAUAGACUCUAUUCAAUAGAUGCAAUGAGCACCGAGCAGCAGAAUCCUUCUUCGUCUUCUAACCGGUGCACAUAUGAUGCAUUCUUGAGUUUCAGAGGCGCAGAUACACGCAAGGGCUUUACAGAUCACCUCUACAAUGCUUUGAAGUUAGCAGGAAUCCACACUUUUAGGGAUGAUGAUGAAAUUGAGAGAGGAGAAAACAUUGCACAGGAGCUACAGACAGCAAUACAAGAGUCACAAGUAUCAAUCAUUGUUUUCUCCAAGGACUACGCCUCUUCCACGUGGUGCCUGAAUGAACUUGCUAUCAUCAUGGAACGUAAAAGAACAGAUGGACACAUGGUUAUCCCAGUUUUCUAUUAUGUGGAACCAUCAGAUGUCAGGAAGCAGACGGGCAGUUUUGCAGAAUCAUUUACUAGACAUCAAGAACAAUUCAAGGACGAGAUAGACAAGGUGGAGGAGUGGAGGCGAGCUCUUAGAGAUGUUGCAGACUUGGGAGGGAUGGUUUUAAAAGACCGGUAAUUUUUCAUUCUCUCCUAUAUUCAGUCAAGUAGAUCAGAUGCUAGUCUCAAGCUUGUGAAAAUUUUAGUUUUUUUUUUUUUGAAAAAAUAAAUAAAUAACUUGCUUGUGUCUUUUCUUUUGGUCUGAAAAUAAAGAAAUUACUGUGCCUCAUAUAUUUUGAUAUCAAUAACAUAUAGGUAUGAGUGGCAGUUUAUCCAAGAAAUUGUUGAAGUGAUUGGAAAUGAACUGGACUACAUGACGAAUAGGAGAUUAAGAGUUGAUCCCCAUGUGAUUGGACGAGGUUACUAUGUGGAAAGCCUAAACAUGUGGCUGGAAGAUGGAUCAAAUGAUGUUGGAGUAGCUGUCAUCCAUGGAAUGGGUGGAAUAGGCAAGACCACCAUUGCUAAAAUUGCUUAUAACCAGAACUUCAAUAAAUUUCAAGCUAGCAGCUUUCUUUCAGAUAUUAGGGAAACUUCCAAACAAGCCAAUGGUUUUGUUCACUUGCAAAUGAAGCUUCUUUCAGAUAUCCAAAGGGGGAAAAUGGAAAAAAUAUACAGCCUUGAUGAAGGUAUAGUAAAGAUCAAACGGGUUGUACGUUGCAAAAGAGUUCUUAUUGUUCUUGAUGAUGUGGAGAACUUGGAACAGUUCACUGCAAUUCUUGGAAUGCGAGACUGGUUCCAUCCUGGAAGUAAAAUUAUCAUAACAACUAGACAUGAGUUAAAGGCUCAUGAAGUUUGUGUAAGGUUUAAGGUUGAAGGAUUACAUGCGCAUCAAUCUCUUACACUUUUCAGUUGGCAUGCCUUCGGACAAUCCCAUCCUCAGGAAGGUUACAUGGAGCAUUCAAGACACCUAGUAAAAUGUUGUGGAGGGGUUCCAUUAGCUCUUCAAGUUCUGGGAUCUUCUCUAUUUGGAAAAACAGCAAAUGUAUGGGAAAAUGUAGUACGCAAGUUAAAGGAAAAUGCAGUACCCACCUUAGACGUGAUUACUGAGGGAAAAAUUCAAAAGAUUCUUUGCAUAAGUUUUGAUUCUUUACAAGAUCAUGAUAAAUGUUUAUUCCUCCAUAUAGCCUGUUUCUUCAUAGGAAAAGACAAGGAUUUUGCAACUACAAUCCUUGAUGAAUGUGAUUUUGCGACAGAAGUUGGACUUCAACACCUAGUUGAUAGAUGCCUUGUGGAAAUUAAUGCCCGCAACAAGUUAACCAUGCAUCAAUUGCUUGAAAACAUGGGAAGGGCAAUAAUUCACAAUGAAUCACCUGAGGACCCUGGAAAACGCACUAGACUGUGGCAUAAAAAAGAAGCAAGUGACGUUUUGAGAAAUUUAACGGUAAGAAACAUGAUCUUUAACUGUAUUUAUUUGCAUUGGUGUUCUACAUGUGACUAGUAACUUAUCCAAUGCUCUUAUUUGGUGGCAGGGUAAGAGAAGUAUUAAGGGCCUCAUGCUCCACUGUCCCUCAACAUUUGAAACAAAGGCAUUUACAAAGAUGCUCAAUCUUGAACUACUUCUGCUUGAUAAUGUAAAGUUGAGUGGAAGCUAUGAAGAUUUUCCAAAAAAAUUGAUAUGGCUGUCUUGGCGAGGAUUCUCUUUAAAAUCAAUACCAGCCAAUUUUUGUAUGGAAAAUCUAGUUGUUCUCGACUUACGGAAGAGCAGUCUGCAACAUGUUUGGAACGGAACCAAGGUAUCUUCUAAUCUCUCUCGCUCUCUCUCUCUCUCAAUACACACAACAAAAAUAAAUUUCAGUGAAAGUAAACUGUGUAUUCAUAGCAACUAAUGACUUCUACUUGAUACAGAAUCUUACAAGAUUGAAAAUUCUUAAUCUCAGUCAUUCACAUGGCCUUAGGACAACAUCUGACUUGUCCGGACUCCCUAACCUUGAGAAACUAAUUCUCAAGGAUUGCAUUAAUUUGGUUGAUGUUGAUGAAUCCAUUGGAAACUUGGGGAAACUUGUUUUCUUGAAUCUAAAAGACUGCAAAAGUCUUAUGAAGCUUCCAAAAAGAAUGAAAAUGUUGAGGUCUCUUGAGGAACUUAUUCUUACUGGUUGCUCAAAGCUUGGUCCUCAUGACAGUGCCACGGUUAUUGAUUUACUCGCUACAUCUAGGGAUAUGAAUAAACUUAGACUGUUAUCAACUAUAUCAUGGACACCUAUCAGGUAUUGGUGGAUGUGGGCAUGGCCGAGAAAGACUCUUCAAUCAACCAGUUUCUCACUGGCAAGUUUGCCACGUUGUUUGGGAAGCUUAAGUCUGUCUUACUGCAACGUGUCAGAGGUUCCCAAUGAUCUGUGUACACUAUCUUUGUUGAAGCAUUUGAAUCUAACUGGUAACCCAAUUUUGCCUACCACAAAAAAUGAAGAGUCUUAUUAUGCUCGAGACUCUUUUGUUAGAUAAUUGCACAAACCUCGAAAUUCUUCCAGAGCUCCCACCAAGGUUGAAGAGGUUAGAAGCAAAGUAUUGUACUUCAUUGAAAAGAUUAACAAAUUUACCAAACUUGUUCAGAUCAUUGGAAUCACUUUUUUGGGGUUGUGAGCAUUUAGUUGAAGUUGAAAGCUUGUUGAAUAUAAAACCGGUGAGAAGCGCUGACAUAGAAAUGACAAGAUAUAUGGGCCUGUUCAAUUUGAAAUCCAUAGCAAGCACUGAUGUCGAAAUGAUGAACUACUUGACCGGUACAAGCAGGAAGGCUCCUGUCCAGGUCUUUCUCUGUCUCCUCUCUCAUGUAUAGUUGUUCUAAUUAUUAUAUCUAUGAACUAAUUUGGCCCAACUGUUUGAAUAGUUAAAUUUGAAUUGUAGAUUCUUGAUGAAACAGGUACUCUAUGAAUGUGGCAUAUAUAGCAUUUUCUUUCAUGGAAGCAAGAUUCCAGAUGGAUUUGGCUUCACAAUAAUAUAUAGAUCUGUGCUGUCAGUUAUUGUACCUUCACAUCCCUUUCUAAAAAUCCGAGGCUUGAAUUCAUGUGUGUUAUAUGCAAGAGAACCAGGCUUGGAAUAUCGUCUUACUGUUCAGCAUUUGAUUAAAGUCAGUAAUCAGACCAAGGGUCUUAUGUGGACCUAUUCCCCACUCACAGUAGGUUUGCCUACUGAGAAGGAAGAUAUGUUAUGGCUAAGCCAUUUUCGAUUUGCAAACAACGAAUUGGAGUAUGGGGACGAAUUACGUGUUUCGGUUGAGAUGCAUGAAUUUGUCCGUGUAAAGGAAUUCGGAAUUCAGCUUGUGUACGAGCCGGAAAGACCUCCUUCUAGCCAGAAUAAUGUUGUUGCUGGAGAUGUGUCACUGUCAGCAUCAGAGUACCAAAUGUGGACAGGAAAAUACUUUCUCAGUAAUCAUGGGCACUGUACUCAUCAAGCUCAAUUCCGAAGGAGACAGGAGAAUCCAGCACAUAUUGAGUUUUCAUUUGGGCCAGAGCUUCUAUUUCAUAAAUUAUUCAAGGCCCGAGGACCAUUCGAAACUGUUGUGAAACUUAGAGCAUAUCCAGCAGAUUCCCCAUCUGCUUCUCCUUACCCAUUUUGGCUAAAAUAAAGAGAAACCUCCUCAGUUCUUUAUCCAGCAUCAUUCAUUUAUGGUUGGAAAGAAACAUCAGCAUCAGUUUUCUUGGUGAGUAUCGUCCCUUUAUUCUUUCUUGUUAUCUCUUUCUGAAUAUAUACUCAUGGCUUUGUUGGAUUUGUUGCUCUUUGCUUAUUGUCUUUGAUUUGUUAAUUGAAUGAAUAUAUUAAACAAAAAGCGGGGAAAGCUCUAUGAACUCAGAACAACAAGGUCAUAAGACCAAUCAAGGAAACAAAACCGGAACAGUCCUCAUGAGUUAGCAGAUGAGGUUUGAAAACCCCUAUAGAGCAAAACCAACUUCAGCGUAACAGCAGUGGGACAACAUGUAUUUCUGAAAAUCCUGCAAUUAGUUUCCCUCCAAAGCCUACUCCUUACAAACGAAUCUUGAAUUCCUGCGACGUGGUAUUUGGGGUAACUUCUAUUUGGACACAUUUAUAUGAGCAAACUUUUCUUAUUCUAUUAUUAUGCAUUCGGAUUAGAAAGCGCGCGAUCAAUAAGAUAUUGAAAACAUGUAUUUCCUGAUACAUUAUAUAAAAUUAAUAAUUCGCUAAAUUCAUAAGAUAAUACAUUAUAUAAAAUUCAUAUAGAUUCCACAUAAUAUGUAAAUUAAUAAUUUCCUGAUACAUGUGCUUAUGAUUCGACAAUGAGGCCUUCCUAAAAUAUGACUCAAUCAUUGUUUGUUUUUUCUUUUCUUGAAAUUGAUACCUUGGAUCUUAUAUUUUUCUUAACAUGAUAAGAAGUUAUAAUGUGGUUUUUUCAUACUUCAACAAAAAAUUAUUCAAUGUCAUCGCCGCUUUGAGAACUUCUUUUCGGGAAACGGGCUCCAUAGUAGAACCAUGUACAAUCUAUUUUUAGAAAAUAAGUAGAUUCAAAAUUUUACUUGGUUAAACAAUAAAAUCGUUAGUUCGUAAAAUGAGAAACUAAAUUAAUAACAUAUUAAUUUAUCAAUUAUUUAAUAUUUUGCUAAAAAAUUUGGUCUCAAGGUUAUUAAUUUAUAGAGGUCUAAUGGAUUUAGAUAGAGGACACUAGGUAGGUUUCCCUUUAAAGAGUCUGAUAUGGUUGCCUUAAGUCUCACUUGCAUUUACUACGGUAUCCCCAAUCAAUCAUGCACUACCAUGCUUGGAUAAACUAUAGUAAUGUCCUUGCAUGGCAUGCAUGAUUGACUCGAGAUACCGUCAUAAUGUCAUCUUUGUUGUAGGUAAGUUUUUCUCCCCGAAAUAUAUGUUCACCAAGGAAUUUACAUGUGAAAUGAAACUCUAAGAAAAGAAAUUUAAAAAUGAGAAAGUGAUCCACCUAAUCAUGUGUGUCGGUAUGUAAUUGGGCCACGCAAGGAUCAAUGAACAAAAAAUUUAAAUGUCACAAUACAAGCUAUAGUAAUUUGUUAACUGCAUUUGAUUUCAUAUUGUUUUAAGUUACGAGCAGUGAAGACAGGGAAUAAAAAUGGAAUGAUAAUCUUUGUUAGAUCAUAUUCUAAAACAAAUUUCCAACACUCUGAAUCUUGCAGCUUUUGAGCUGCUCUGUGUUUGAGCAAUUAGUAGAGACAAAAUUGGAAGAGAUCAUCCUGUAAUAUCUAGUUAAACAAAUCAAGGGAAAACAAUUUUACGCCGCCCUUACCUAGUUUACAAAAUUUGUCAACCUCUUCUCUUACAAAAUUUGUAUAAGCCUAACCUGCGCGCGCUAUAAAGUCCUAAUUCUAAUCUUGGGACAAUGUAAAAGGAGUGCAGCGGGAAGAAAUAUCCAUGACAUCACAGACCACUCGGGCACAUGACUUUUUUGGAACUACAAGACAAUAAGAUGUAAAACAUUUCAGAGCUAUGUGGCAGGUAUUGCACAGAGGGGAAACAAAAGCACAAGGCUCUCUAAGCAAACAAUAACAGAGAAGAAUCGUCGUAUACACAAUUGUUUUCUACCAAUAGCGAAUGACAUAGCAGACAACUAGAAGAGAGUAAUGAUUCUCAAGAUAUAGCUUAUUUACUUAUCCCUUAAGAUUAUUCACAAGAGCAUUCGAUUUUUGUUAGAAACGCUAUAUGGAGAUUACAAUAAUCAUGACAUUAUUGUGCGCCAUUGUGCUGAUCGUUAUGUUCCUGACAGGAACUAAUUACCUCUCUUUGAAACGGUGUCUUCCAAGACAGAAAAUCCUUAAUCUCAGUCACUCACAUGGCGUGAUGACAACCCCUAACUUGUCACAAGUCCCUAACCUUGAACAAUUGAUUCUCAAAUAUUGCUUAAAUUAGGUCGAGGUGGAUGACUCCAUUGGAUACCUAGAGAAACUUGUUUUCCUGAAUCUAAGACUGCAAAAUGUGAGUGCUGGAGAUGUGUCAGCAUCAAAGUAUCAAAUAUGGAAAGGCAAAUGCUUUGUGUGUAAUCACAGUCUAGACCAUACUUAUCAUCCUCAGUUCAUAUUUCAGAAAGAACCAGAAGAACCUGGCUCAUCUUGAUUCUUCAUACGAUCCAGAGGGCUGUUAUUUUAAUAAUCAUUACUUACUUAAGCACAUAGAGUUUCCUCAGGAGGACGAUGAAUACUGUUGUGUUUUGCCACCCGAAAGGGUAAGAUUUUACAAGAGAAUAAAAGAUAAAGAAGGCGAUGAUUAUCGACUGCGUCUAUUCAAAAGAAGUGUAGAUUUGGGCACUAUCCAGUUGCGGUGCUAAUCAUCGGGCGUUGAAGAAAAGAUCAUGGUUUGUUUUCUUUUGUGAGUCUUAUUUUCUGUUUCUCUUUGUAUAGAAUAUACUAUAUAUGCAUUUUGUUUGAAUAAUUGAAUCUUCUUAACUCGAUCUUUUCAAUAUUUUGUACAAAGGAUGCAAGGGUUCAAAAACACUAGAUGUAGAUUUCAUAUCUGAGCUCCAUAUUGGUUCUUAUCUGAGCUCCUUCAGCGGAUUAACAAUGUGGUCAGCGAAUAAAGGAGUUUAAUCCAACUUAACAGUUAACAAUCAGACGGGCAGAUCUUCCCGUUGUUUAUUUUUCCGUUUCUUCUUAAUUUUUUGUUUUUGCUCCAAUCUUUCUUUAUUUUUUUCUUCUUAUGUUUUUGCUCUUUCUUUAUCACAUAACCGUAGCUACUUUCUGGUUAAAUUCUAUUUUUCUUAUUUCUUAAAAAUAAAUUAAAAGCUACUUAUUAUUAGGGUUUAGUAAUAUUCAUCUUUACUUAUGUUGAUGCACAAAACCGGAAGGUCUUGGAACAACGUAAAUCCGACCGUGAAUCAUGCAAACGCCCAAGAACACAAAGAUGUAUCGUGGUUCACCCCAAUGUUUGGGCUACGUCCACACUGAUGUUGAUUGUAUUCCUCUGUAAUUGUAUGUAUGGAUUACAAAGUGUUGUUGUGUUUGUGAGGGUAUUGCCCUCUGUUGGGUUCACAGAGGAAGAGAGUUGAGAGAGUUUCUAUGUAUGUAGGAGGGUUGCUCUGAAUAUGAGAGUCUCUGUUUGGGGAUGUGAGGCCUCAGGAUUGUGAGGGUGAGGAGGCCCUUUUAUAGACUAAGGGCUCCUCCCCUUUUACAUAAAUCAUAGGCUCAAUGUCUGGAAGCCCAAGUAACGAGGCCCAAUAUAAUAUGGUACCAACAGUAGUCCCCUAAGUCUUCAGUCAAGAGAGUCUUUUGGCUGGAGACUUCAAAUCCAAUUCAUGUACGGGCCGAAGUGGCUAGAUGUCUUGAACCAGUACUCAACCCAAGGCAAUGCUCAACAUAAAGCAAUACUCGGCUAGAGGUAUCACACGUUACGAGACUACUCGGUUGGAGGCGAUGCUCGUUGCGAGGCUGCUCGGCUAGAGGCUAUGCUCGCGGCAAGGCGUUUGCUCGGCUGGAGGCGAUGCUCGUUGCGAGGCGGCUCGGCUAAAGGCUAUGCUCGCUACGAAGUGGCUCGGCUCGUGGUAUUCCUCAUUGCAAGUAUCUACUUUAUGUCGACAUGCACUCAGUAUGAGUUGAUUCUCAACAUGACUCGAGUCCGCUUGUCGGGUUCGCAUAUUGGGUCUAUAUGUAGGAUCCGCAGAUCGGGUCCGCAAGUCGGGUCUUUGAGUUGGGGCCAUACGUAGGGUCAUCGAGUUGGGGCUAUCUGUAGGGUAAUCGAGUUAGGUCCAGGCACAUAGGUGUCCCAAUAAGCAAAUGUCAGAGCAAGUGGGUGUCCGGUCAGACAAGAGAUCACCAUGAGCACGUGGCUCAUCAAUCUAUAAGUUGGUAGACUUCUUUAAUCAGCAACAAUGUUGAUCAGUGGAUCUAGUUGCUUAAUAAUUUCUGACAAUAAAUGACAGUAUAAGUAUGACCGUAUAAUAAGUAAAUCAAAUUGACAAAGUUUGUCAAGGCAAAAUAUUGCAUUAUGUGCCUUCUGUGAAUAAAUGAUUUAUUCAGUUUGUGUGAUAAAUCAUAUGUUGUAUAAAUCAACAAUAUAUUAAGCAUAUAAUAUAUAUAUACCAACGGUAAUUUUUUAAAGUGGCAGGUAACAUAGGGAUAUUAAAGGAGAGCAUCUUAUCUUUUUAAGGGGUUGGUGGCUUUCUUUCAGGCAGAUGGCAGACAGUAAUUAUAGGAUUAAUAAUAGAAUGAUGGCAGAUGGCAGACGGAAUAAAAACUUAUCUUUAGACAAUGGAGUGGGCAUCUUCUUUGGUGGUCGACAAAAGUCAUCGGUCAUGAUAAAGUUCUUAUCUUCUCUGUUCGUCCAUCAUUGCUCUAGCAGUGGAACUGUGGCCAACAUCUUUGAAAUCAUUACUUGUGUCCUUUCCAAACCUCUCUCAUUCUCGUCGCUUCUUUUCGCCAGCGCUCUGUAAAGAAACAAGGCUCCCAGCACGGCGGUGAAGAUCCAUCCGAGCAAGUGCUGAUCCGCCAUUACAGGUGAAGGCUGCUUCCAUUUCAUGGAGGUUUGGUUUGCUUCCAUGGCCGCUUCAGACUCUUCUUUUUCUGCGGUGUUCUAUGGAUAACAUCAAAGUUGAAUGAAUGGAUACAUGUGGGCUUUUGAUUACUUGAUGAGUUUUUUUUUUUCUGAUAGAAUAAAAAAAAAACAAGCAGCCAACUUCCACCAAUCCCCUCGCUUAGCAACAGGUGCAUAUGUUAGUGGCAGAGUCGGAAAGAGUGACAAUUCUGGUGGCGGACUCGAAUCGGCGCUCCCGACGAAUAUCAUCCUCGAUUUCUUGCUGGGCCCUCCGACGCUGGUUGAAUUUCUCGGCGUUGGCGUUGUUCCACAACGCGAAUCGAACCUCCGUUGGCGGGUGGUUCUGAGCCGCGUUGUGGGUGGGGCUCAAGUUCAAUGGUGGCGUAAAAAUUAGACAAGAAAUGGGCAAAUUCAGCGCCAUUUCUUGCUGGGUUCCUCAAAUUGAAGCCGAAAGCUUCAAACUUUUAGCAGAUAUGAGUCCUUUUGCUGGGUUCUGAAUGCAUAUCAGUUAAACGACGUCGCAGCAGCUGACAGUAUAGGCCUUUCAAAGUGAGAGUUUUGCAGGGAAGAAUUGAGAGAGAGAAAGAGGUGGCUCCGUGGGUUUUCUGGGAAAGCUUUGGGUUCUUGGGUUUCUGCAGAUUCACGGUGGAGGUUGUCAAGUUUUCACAGUGGUGAGAUGGAAAAAUGAAAGAGAACUGACAUAGCUUUUCGUGUCGUUUCCCACAGACGGAGCCAAAUGUUGAUGCACAAAACCGGAAGGUCUUGGAACAACGUAAAUCCGAUCGUGAAUCAUGCAAACGCCCAAGAACACAAAGAUGUAUCAUGGUUCACCCUAAUGUUUGGGAUACGUUCACACUGAUCUUGAUUGUAUUCCUUUGUAACUGUAUGUAUGGAUUACAAAGUGUUGUUGUGUUUGUGAGGGUAUUGCCCUCUGUUGGGUUCACAGAGGAAGAAAGUUGAGAGAGUUUAUGUGUUUGUAGAAGGGUUGCUCUGAAUAUGAGACUCUCUGUUUGGGGACGUGAGGCCUCAAGAUUGUGAGGGUGAGGAUACCCUUUUAUAGACUAAGGGCUCAUCCCCUUUUACAUAAAUCACGGGCUCAAUGUCUGGAAGCCCAAGUAACGAGGCUCAUAUAAUAUGGUACCAACAACUUAUAAGUGAAAGAUGUCUUAUAUUCGAUUCUCAUCACUUAGCCCUCUCGCUUCUUAAUGUAGAUAAUAUCGUAUAUUCAAAACAAACAAAAAAGUAAAUUAAAACACUAAAAUUAAAUAAUAAAAAAAUAAAUAGAAACCCAACCCUCGUCAACUUCCUCACCCCGGUGUGAGAUUUGUCCAAAUGUUAGAUAAUUUGGGUUGGGUGAGUUGGGUUGGGGUCGCUUCUCAUCUAUUCAUUCACCCUUCACAUCUAUGCAUCCACCCCAAUUUAGAUGAUUUGGGAUCUUGGAUUAGCAAUAUUUUUCAAAUAACAGAGAGAGAGAGAGAGAGAGAGAGAGAGAGAGAGAGAGAGAGAGAGAGAGAGAGAGAGAGAGAGAGAGAGAGAGAGAGCGAGAGAGAAUGGGAUGGUUAGAUUUUAGAAUUGCUAUGACAUAAACAUUAAUAAUGAUAAAAAUUAAUUAGAGUUAUGUGAGAGGACAUAUGUCAAGCUGAAUUUAUGUUGGUAGAAUACACUAGGGGUUAAGUUUGGGCAAUUUUGCUCACCACCAUUUUAUUUAUCAUUGUUAAAUAAGUUUAAAUUUUGAAAUUUGUAUCUAUCCAUAAUAGAAUAUCAGGUACACAUAACAAACAUACGAACAAACAUAUUAUAAAUUACGAAUAUUAUUUGAUUAACGAAAAAACAAAGAAAUAGGAUUGCCAAGAUGGCUACACUUAAAGACUACAUUUUAAUCAACUUAUUAUCAUACUAAAUUAUAAGUUAUAUGUAUAGAGAACAAAACCUAAGAAACCCUAAUUUGAAUGAGCUAAGCCCAAAUCUUAAAUUAACAAGCAAACCCAAAUAAUUAAGUAACUAAUUUUCCAACACCCCCGUCAAACUCAUGGUGGUACACGACAUGAGUUUACCAACAAGAAAAUGUCAAUGUAGGCUUCACUAGGUGGACAAGCAGGCAAACAAGCUUUGCUAGGCUGGACUUGACUUGACUUGUGAAUGGGCAAACUGAUUAUGUUUCAGAAAUGCAUGAGGGUAUGGAAAGAAAGCAUAUGAGUGCUCCUCAUCACUAAACAAACGAGAUUUUCAUAUCCCAAUUGCAGCAAUGGACGGACAAAAAGAAUACUAUCACUCAAGUGAUCACAAGUCCAAACAGUCGCAAAAUUCCCAUACAGGCCAACAACUCGUGUGGGCCUCAAAGACUUCAAACAAAAUCAAACAGCCCAUCUCUUUUUGCCCUUUCCCCGUGUGGGCCGAAAUCUCAACUAAAUUCGUGGGCCUCAAACAUACCGCCACUUUUUCUCCUUUUUCUUUUCCUUUUUCCCUCUUUUUCUUUUUCUUUUUUACAGAUCUCUAUAAUUGUUGCCCCAACACGACAAUUUUGUUAAUUCUUAUUAAUGAAGAGGAUUUUUCAAUCUUUCUUUGUUUCGUGCAGAUUGAAUUUGCCUGUGUCUGAACCGAAUCAUUUCUUUUUUAAACAACUGGUGUCGGGGGAGGGGGCCUCUGCAGGCUUUUAUCAACUUUGAGUUACAAGUCCAUUGAAAAUUAAUAAUUGAUUUGUCUCUUUAAGGAAGAACGGCCAUAGAAAAUUAAUAACUGAAUUAUCUUUUAAUUUAAUUAUUAUAAUAACUGAUUUGUCUUUUUUUAUUUUUUUUAAAUGAUAUUGCAAGAGUAGAAUUUGAGCUAAGUCACACGUCAUAAUUUCACACCGAACGAAAAUCGAAUCUAAAACCUUCUUUUUUUAUAAGUGGAGAAAUUUAUGAUUGAAUCUUUAGAUUUUGCAUUAUAGUCGCUCUAUAGUGACUCUUUUGUGACUAUAAAAAAUGAUUACUCAAUUUUCGUGGAAAACGCGAAUUAUACACGUACGUACCUUGAGUACUUUUUGGCAAAGCCAUAUAUAAUUGUCACCCUCAUUUACCCAAAAAAUAAAGAAAAACAAAAGAAAAGAGAAAACAAAAGACUAGCCCUUCUUCUUGAGCUUCUCUGGUAGCAUGAUCAUCUCCCACAUCCUCUUCUUCAUCAACUCUUAAGACCGACGCCCAUUCAGAUCCUUGGAAGUUUGAGCAUGGUGGAGAGGAACUAUAGUUAUCAACUUGAGUUUGCGAGUUAGCGAAAUUCGAUUUGUGAAAUCGUCCAUUUCAAAGUGUCUUUUUGAAGAAACUAGUUGGGACUUUCAUCCAACAGCUUAUCGGCUGAAAGAAAACUCGCAGCUUUCGGCAUCUUACAAUACACAACUCUGGUGUGUGCGAGGUACCUUCAAGCUCCCCUCUUGUGAAAACAUACAUCUGCUUGUAUUAUUAGCUUUCAAUUGAAAUCUUCAUGGCCGAUGAAUCAAUGCAUUGGCUUUGGCUCCUCUUGCUUUCUUAUCUUUAUUUUUCUUUUUAAUAUUGUCCUAUGAAAUUUGUUUUGAGUCCCUAACUCACACUUAAAGCACCGCCGUUACACUGAAAAUUUUCUCUAAGCUAGUGGGUCAUUCUAUUUUUUUUAUGAAAAAAAAUCAUAAACUUAUCCAAUAAACUCCACAUAUCAUCCCUUAUUGACAUAGUUAGAUUCAAGUGCUACAUUUUAUAAUUACACAUUAGUUGGUUUUUAGUUUUUUAUUCAAGUUCUUUGAAUUUUGAUUAAACGCUUUAACUUUACAUGUGUUUUUUUCUUAAUUUUAACUCAAUAUGUUAUAUAAAUUUAAAGAAUAUAAAUAUGAGUCUCUAAAUUCAUGGAAAUUGUUUUGCAAGACUUUAAUUAUUUUUUUUUCAGAAACGUGAACUAAAUCCAUUCAUGAAAAAAGAUCCAGUCCUUUUCUUUUUUUUCUUCUCAAAAUAAAUAUGAGUCAUUAUUUUAAUAGUUAAUUUAUUAAAAAUUGAUAAAAUAUAUUUUUGUAUAAAGUUUUAAUAUGAAUUUCUUUUAGGGUUGUCAUUAGCUUUUUACGUACCAACGCCUUCAAACUUAAAGCCACAGCCCACUCCCAGUCCAAAUCCAUAAACCCAGCCACUUUAAUUGUUUUCAGAAGAGUGGCAGUUUCGUAAAUAAAGUGAAAUGCAGCAAAAGUCACUGUAGCUUAUGAAUAAUGCUAAGGAAAUUUUAUUUGAACACAUCUAACCUCUUUCUAUACCAAACUUACUCUCUUCACCCAUAUUGUUUUUUAUUAAAGAAUUAAUAUCUCUUUAAACCCAAAUUUAUUACCUAAACUACCCUUUCAAACCCAAUUCAAAAUGUAAAUUAUCUUUUCACCAAUUUUCUUUAUAAAAUAACAUCUCUAAUUGAAUGUUGUUUUUUCUUCAAAGAGGCAUCCUUUGCCCCUAUAAUUGCAUUUGCCGUAUAGGACUAGCAUUUCCAUGGCUGUUUUUUUUUUCCUUCUGCUACCACAACACAUUCAUGGACUUGGGAUCCAAGAGAUCAUUCCAUAGACUUGAAUUUGCCAAGAGAAUGCUAUGCAACCUUCAGUUCAGUCAUUUUUAAAUCGAGCAUUUUCAUGUACUUUUUAAGAAACUUUGAAGUGACAUAGGGAUGGGUGUUUUGCUGCUAUGUUAAUAAACAAAUAAACAAAUUGGAGCUAUUUUGAAUAAAAAAAUGUGCAAGACAUGCCACCGGCUAGUUCGUGGUUAAGGUUGAGCAAUCUUUAUUUGUACCAAGAACCAAGUUUUAUGUUUUUGCAGUACUAAUAAAAAAUCCUUGCACUGGUGUUUUGGGGCGCAUAUAGACGACAUAGAGAAACAAAUACAAUAUAAUAUAAAAGGUAUGAAAUUUAAUCCAAGGAAGAAGCAAACAAACAAAAUAUCCAUAAAUCGAGUCAUACCUUAGUUGAAGGAUUAAAAACUUCAAAAUCACCAUCCAUCAAUAGAAAAGCUUGUUUUUCUCUAUCAGAACUAUUAGGGUUUUAGUUGGAAUGAACAUAGGAUAAACUAAGAGUGAUGCUAGAGUUUAGUUAUAGUAUGUGGGUCUAUUGAUAAAUUUGAUUUUUAUUAUUAAUUUCAUUUUGUACUUAAUAGUAAUUAUGCAAUAGGGUAAAAUAGACAAUUAAUAUUUAAAAUUUAAGUUGGAUGUAGAAAGAUGUUAGAUGGGUUUAAAUAAAAUUUCCCUAGAGCCAAUUCUUCCCCAAUUUAGACUAUACUAAUAUGAAAAAUUCCAUCUCCAAUCAGACUUCAUUCUUAAUACAAGUUAGCAUACUUACUAGAAACACCAAUUUUUUAUUUAGUAUUAUUAUUUUUUUCUGGGUAAUACUAGAGACAUCAACUUAUUAGUUUUUGCAUCAAUUUUUUUAAAUCCCAAAUUUCGUGGCAAUGUUUCAACGCAUUUUCUGUUCACAUUUUACAACAAAUAAGAAUUUGCAUUGUGACUUGUUAACAAUUAACUGGUGUCUCUUGCACUAUUAUUAUGUUUAUCAUUUCUUACAUACUUCCAAAAUUAGACAUGUAAUAUGAUUUGCAUCUCAGUGUUAAAUCAGAUGUGUUUGGCAGCUGGAGAAUAUAUUCUCAAUUUGCAUUCCAAUUUGUAUAUAAUUACUUUUGUUCAUGCAUGCACUGCAACAGAUGGACACUAUUCAAUAGCUACGAUGAGCACCGAGCAGCAGAAUGCUUCUUCGUCCUCUUACCGGUGCACAUAUGAUGCAUUCUUAAGUUUCAGAGGUGCAGAUACACGCAAGGGUUUUGCAGAUCACCUCUACAGUGCUUUGGAGUUGGCAGGAAUCCACACUUUUAGAGAUGAUGAUGAAAUUGAGGGAGGAGCAAACAUCGAACAGGAGCUACAGACAGCAAUACAAGAGUCACGAGUAUCAGUCAUUGUUUUUUCCACGGACUACGCCUCUUCCACGUGGUGCCUGAAUGAACUUGCUAUCAUCAUGGAACGUACAAAAACAGAUGGACACAAGGUUGUGCCAGUUUUCUAUGAUGUGGAACCAUCAGAUGUUAGGAAACAGACGGGCAGUUUUGCAGACUCAUUUACUAUACAUGAACAGCGCUUCAAGGACAAGAUAGACAAGGUGGAGGAGUGGAGACGAGCUCUUAGAGAAGUAACAGACCUGGGAGGGAUGGUUUUAGGAGAACGGUAAUUUGUCAUUCCCUCCCUAUAUUCAGUCAAGUAGAUCAGAUGCUAGUCUCAAGCUUGUGAAAGUUUUAGCUUUUCUUUUUUAAAUAAAAAAAUUAAAUAAAUAACUUGCUCGUGUUUUUUGUUUUCCUCUGAUAUAUUUUUAUAUCAAUAACAUAUAGGUACGAGUCGCACUUUAUCCAAGAUAUUGUUGAAGCUUUUGGAAAUAAACUGGACUACAUGAACAUGUGGAAUAGGAGAUUAAGAGUUGAUCCCUAUGUAAUUGGAAGAGAUUAUUAUGUGGAAAGCCUGAACACCUGGCUAGAAGAUGGAUCAAAUGAUGUUGGAGUAGCUGUCAUCCAUGGAAUGGGUGGAAUAGGCAAGACCACCAUUGCUAAAAUUGCUUAUAACCAGAACUUCUCUAAAUUUCAAGCUAGCAGCUUUCUAUCAGAUAUUAGGGAAACUUCCAAACAAGCCAAUGGUUUUGUUCACUUGCAGAGGAACCUUCUUUCCGAUAUCCAAAAGAGGAAAGUGAACAAUAUAUACAGCCAUGAUGAAGGUAUAGUAAAGAUCAAACGGGCUGUACGUUGCAAAAGAGUUCUUAUUGUUCUCGAUGAUGUUGAGAACUUGGAACAGUUCAAUGUGAUUCUUGGAAUGCGAGACUGGCUCCAUCCUGGAAGUAAAAUUAUCAUAACAACUAGACAUGAACAUUUGUUAAGGGCUGAAGUUUGUGUAAGGUUUAAGGUUGAAGGAUUACCUGAGCAUCAAUCACUUAAGCUUUUCAGUUGGCAUGCCUUUGGACAAACCCAUCCUCAAGAAGGUUACAUGGAGCUUUCAAGACCUGUAGUAGAACAUUGUGGAGGGGUUCCAUUAGCUCUUCAAGUUCUGGGAUCUUCUCUAUUUGGAAAAACAGUAGAUGUAUGGAAAAAUGCAUUUCACAACCUAGACGUGAUUACUGAGGGAAAAAUUCAAAAGAUUCUUGGCAUAAGUUUUCAUUCUUUACAAGAUCAUGAUAAACGUUUAUUCCUCCACAUAGCCUGUUUCUUCGUAGGGAAGGACAAGGAUUUUACAACUACAAUCCUU
rnacentral:lncRNA from 1 species